rnacentral:lncRNA from 1 species
CCAUUUUUUUUGUUUAGCUGUAACCCUAAUUUGUACAUAGAAGAACUUACGAUCUUCAUUAAUUGAGCGUUGGGUGAACACACACUAUUUAGAACUCAUGUUAUUUUCUCAAGAAGCGAUUUGUUUCUAUGGACCUUCAUUUCGAUGUUUAUUGUGUUUGCAGUUUCAUUAUGAAACUCAUGCAUCAUUCCUAUCAUUUCUUUUCUUUGGUGAGGCCUUUUGUGCUUUCCUGUCUAAAUGCAUGUGCCAUAUUUCUGUUCUGUUCAGCAAAAUCGUCCAAUAAACUCCCAAAAUGCAGCCGAUUCAUUACAAAAGUUCAAUCUCAAGAAAACGGCGGUGCAAAAGGCACUGGAUUCCCUCGCCGACAGUGGACGGAUUUCAUUCAAGGAGUAUGGCAAGCAGAAGAUAUAUAUCGCUCGGCAAGACCAAUUUCAGAUCCCCAACAGCGAGGAACUCACUCAGAUGAAGGAAGCAAACGCCAAACUGCAGAAACAGCUAGGCGAGCACAAAAAGGCUAUUAGCCAGGUUGAGGAAGGUAAUGAUACUAGUAAAUUUCAAAGUAGCCCUCAAUAAUGUAAAUGUUAUGUAUCACUUGAGCCGUUUCAGUUUUGGUAUUUAAGUUUCGAGAAAUGAAAAUAAUAGUAUCCUGAUUUUUUGUAACAGAAAUUCGAACAUUGCAGUCAAACUUAACGCUGGAACAAAUGCGGGAAAAGGAAGCUAUGCUCAGAAUGGAGGUAGAUGGAUGCUAAAUCAGAUAGCUGUAACUUUAUUCUGAUCAGUGAUAUUGUUACCUUUUCUUUAUCUCUUGUUAAUGUCUCAAAAAGUAGCUUGUUUGAUAAAUGCUUGUCAGGUCAAGGAAUUGGAAGAGAAAUUAGAAGUAUUGCGCAGAGGUGUAACGUUGGUGAGCCCAGAAGACCGCAAAGCAAUUGAGCAGAUAUACUCUGAGAAAUUAAGCCAGUGGCGAAAGCGAAAAAGGAUGUUCAAAGAUAUAUGGGAUGCUAUCACUGAGAACUCAUCCAAGGAUUUAAAAGAAUUUAAGGUUCGUCAUUUUGCUUGUCCCCAUUUUUACCCAAGUUCUUCUUACUUACUUUUUUAUUUUUGCAGGAAGAACUUGGCAUUGAGUACGAUGAAGAUGUGGGCGUGAACUUGCAGUCAUUUAGCGAUAUGUUACCACAAAAUAGAAAGAGGCCCAGGGGUAAGUGAGUGAUACCAUAAACUGGGGCGUUCAACUAAAGUAAGUAAGAGCAGAAUUAUUUGCUUAUUACUUUUCUUUAUUCAAUCCGUUCGUAAAGGCAAAUACAUGUAGAUUCUGUCUGCCUAAAGCUUGGCUUUUGUAUCACGAAUACUUAUCAAGUUGCUUCCCGUUGAUUCAUCCCAAGUUGAAGGCACCAUUUAUUUACUAUACUGCUGAGUAAAGAAACUGCCGUCCUUGACUAUGUUUUUUUUUUACCGUAUACUAAUGUUUACGGUCGGUGAGGUACUUUCUUUCAAAUGAUUCUGAACUAAACUUAUAAUACUUUGCAAUAGAAGAGGUAAUGUUCUCUGCUGUUGAAUGAACUCAAGAAGAAAGUUUUAUUUCUUAUAUGCACUAUGUUGUACAGCCUUUAGCCUUUUAUGGGUACUCGAUAAGUUUUCAUUUCAGAGGAAAAUCAGGAAAUCAGUGUUCCAUGCCUUGGAUAGACGAGGAGGAAACUGAGAUUUUACAUCAUAGUACAAUAGAUUAUUUUACAUCAUAGUACAAUAUAUUACAAGUUACCAAAAUUGUACCAAUAUACCCCAGAGUUGAGAUGUCUAGAUGAAUCCCAAAGAGAAGAAUUUUACAAUAUCAUUUCAACAGACAAAAAAUUGAUAUUCAGUCAUGAGGGAAACCAAUUUAAAUAUUUGCACACUAUAUCAAGCUUAAGGUUCUUAAAAUAAACGAAUUCUACUUACAAAAUUUAUUAUCUUUAAACAGACGUCAAUCAAGAUACGAUAUGUUGAAGCUCCUCAGUGCCCACGGACAUCUAUUGUCCUUAUAACAGCCUCAUUCCCUAUGCUUGUAUUUUGUGCAGUAUCAUUGUUAUCAGAUUCCUCAUUGUUUGCUGUGAUCUCUGCAGACUCCGACUCCAUCUUCUCACAAGACACGAAGCUCAAAUUCUUUUCCUCAAGAGCCGAAUUGCUGCUUUCUCCAUUCGCAGCAUCAACAUCACUCUCGUCAAAAGUCAAAUCCUUCUCCAGCAGUUCGAUUAUAUUUAUUGCUUCAAUUGGAAUCUCAUUUUCCUUUAAACUAGCAUCCCCGGCUUCUGAACUAGAAGAAGACACUGGCUGCUUCAAUUCUAUUUCAUUUUCACUCUCCUCCACUUCUAUAGACGAACUUCCACCAUGUGUUUCCUUGUUCAUUUCUUUCUCAGUGUUCUUGGAUUCAAGAGUUUCAGUGGAUUUUCUUGGUUUUGGACUCAGAUUACUCAGGUCAUCAUGAUCAAGUGAUUUAGAUUGAGAGAGUUCAACUGCAGCUCUUGCAGCAGCUGCUGCAUAUGCAGCCGACUCGAAUGCUGCCUGAGCAGCAUCGGCCACAUCUUUGUACUUCUUUCUUCCUCUCAUCGAAUCAGCAUACCGAUUGUCCUUCUCUAUCUCUUCAGGUAAAAUCUGAAAAACACCCUCCUCUUUGGUUUCCUGCUGUGGUUGUUCCUUCGUCUCUUCUGCCAUAACCAUAACUUUCUCCUGCAUUGAAUUUAUAGGCAUUCAAUAACUCAAACUUGUAAUUGAUUACUACUUCCAAUCUCAUUAAUCACACACCAUACCUCAGUUGAAGCUUCGUAAGCCUCCAAAUCUUUCAAAGUAAUGCCAUGUUCAGAAGCAAUUUGUUUAAGUAACUUCAAUUUGAUCUCCAAGCUUGCUGACCUUGCCGACAGCUUCUGUACUAUCUGAAAACCCCCAAGAUGACCACAUCAUUCAGUGAAAACAGCGAGGGAACAUUAGCAUAAGAAUACAAGCACCAGUGCUUCAAGUGAAAUGAUAAGAACAAAUCAUAACAUAACAUACCAUUGGACCAACAGAACAAUUGUUGCGUAACUCAAUAGCACGAGCCGUAAACUCCUUCCCAAAACGAGUGGUGAUAACUGAACGAAUCUCUAUAAGCUCUGGGAAAUCCCCACAUCUUGAAGAUGCAAAAAUCAAACCUGAAAUUGCUUCCUUGAGUUCCUCUGGGCAUUCUCUACAUAUUUAGGAUCAAACCCAAAAUGAAAUCAUAAGUCAGUUCAAAAGGAAAAAGAGAAACCAAUGGUUGUAUACAAUUUACAUCUUCAUUUGCCAACCUCUCAUGUUCAAGUUGCUUGAUUCUUUCCAAUACAACCUCACAAUAACUCUCUAUUAUAGCAUACGCAUCCAACAGUUUCUGGUCCUUAAUAACUUGCUCCACCUGUCAAAAUCUUAGUAUUAGGGACAUUUUAAUGUUUCAUUUAUAUUUCCUGAUGUCCUGUCAAGCCCAUAAAGAUGUUGAAUUUCCUAAGCUUGGAGGUUAUUAAGUCCAAAUCCAAGCUUAAAACUUAAAAGUAUGAAACAAGAAAAACAGAUGAUCUUACACGAAAGAGGGCCCUCUCAUGGUGGCCAAGCUGGAGCAACUGAACUACAUCAGAACGAGCCUGGGAGGAUCUAACCUGGCGCUGGUUUGCAAGAACAGCGAGCCGUGAUAUGGCCAAAUUCACAAGAGCUUUGAACCUUGUGGUCUUAAAGCUUCUUCCCAGCAGUGCAUCAAGCUUCUUUCCCAUGACUCCAAUGUUUCUGAGAGAUCUUUGUUAAGAGAACUCCGACAACUUCUCCUUUCAUGGAGGGAAAGCCGCUUUAAAAUACAUAGCCACGUCAAUAGGUGAACUAUAAGAGUUUGCCACGUGGACGCCAGGUAGAAUUCAAAAAGAACAUAAAAGUAAAUAUACAGGUUUAGACUUUAGGGACUGGAAAAAAUCAAGUUUUUCUAAUUCAUCAUCUACCAAGUUGCCUUAUUUUGAAUUGGGUCUUUUCUAGAUGGUCCUUUAAAUCCCCUUUUUAUUUAAUACCAUAAAUUUCAAGAUUUGAGAUCUGAAAUUGGUGAAAAUAAAUAAAAUACCAAUUUCUUCUCUUAAUGAUCGACAAUUACAUUUAGAAUAGUCAACAAAUAUACAUAUAUUUUACAAAAAAGCAUCAGUUUCAGACGUGGACACUCAUGGACAAAAUUAAGACAUAAAAAGUCGUCUUAAUUACAAGUAGAAAUGAAACGUGUCUUAGGGGGGAAAGGGAAAGGCUUGACACGGUUUGCGUGUAAAAAACACAAAAAUCACAAUCAAUGUAAACAACGGGAAGAAGGGUCUUUAAAAUGAAUCAAUUUUCUUCGAGUUUUGGAUUUUCUUAUUUUUCCAUGAAAAUUGUCGAAGUCUGUAGUAAAGAUUGAAAAGAACGGAUGCUAUUAGAUUGUUGUGAUUACUAUUUACUAAUGAAAUAAAGGAAGAUGGAAGGAAUUUUCUCAUCAGAUUUUAUAAAGACAAGAAAACCAAUUGAACUUGUCCAAUAAGUUUCCGUACAUUACAAUAUAUCUAUUUUCCACAAUUCCUUGAUUACAACUUUAACACACACAGUGCGUAUCAGUCGCGAUGAAAGAAGAUUGUGUCUUGGUGGGUGGUGCAUGAAUUCACACAUCUCGGUUGGAAAAGCAAUGUCAAUUAAGGGUAAAAGGUUAUAAUAAUGAUACCAAACCCAUUGUUUGUUUCUAUUGACAGACUUGUGUCACUUUAUUUACUUUUUUGGUAAGAAGAGAUGAUUGGGUCAACUUUACCAAAUACCAACCGGUUUUUCUUGCUGUAAAUACAAAUCCAAUUAUGCAUGCUACUCUCUUUCUCAACGGCCAAUAUAGCAAUUUCAAGGAUAUUGCUUCUUGGUUUGGAACUUGCCAAAUACAAUUAUACUCUGUCUCCUGAUUUUGCCGUUGAAAUGAAAUUUCAUAACUUUUGCUGUUACCAAAAAUUACUCUUUUAGUAUUUGCUAUGUAAAAUAAAUUGGAUACAUUUUAAAUAGCUUGUGGGUUUGAGGGAAACGUUUAAACUAAAAUGGAUAAACUUUCAAGCAACGAUUAUUUUCUCUUCUUUUAUGCCUAGACCGUGACUUUAGAGUGGUUUGACAUCAUUUUUCUAAAGAAACUUGCAAUAAUUAUUGAAUUGAAUAGUUAAAACAUCCCAAACCAGACUUUUAUUUAUAUUACAAAUUUUCUUGUAUAUGUAUAAUGUCAUUGUUGAAGGCAAAAUCCGUAAUCUCCAAAACGUUAAAUAUUAACAUACACUAUUUCUUACGUGGAGUAAUAAAGAAGAGGAUGGGGGAAGAACUUGACAGAAACCAUGAAAAUGAAAGCUGCGAAAUAUUUCCAACGACUAACAAAGGCAAGGAAUAUCAUGGGGACCCGUAGCAUUAAUGACGAAGGGAAAUCCAUUACAUAGACUUUCUCAUCAAGUAAACAGCGGCAAAGCGCAGGAAUUAAAUUGCGUUGUAACCACUAAAUGAUCGAAUAUAUUUCUUACUCUUCAUACAUAGCCAUCUCAUUGGCAUAGCCUAAAUCCUGUCCAAUUUAUGGUAAAGAAAUGAUUGGAUCUAAAUACCUAUACAAUGAGGUAAGACCACCAUUUACAGACCUUUGAAUACGUAUGAUUUGAAGAUUUGUCUAGAAAGCCUCAACGACUAAUAGGCAACGCAAUUAAUCAACAAAUUUAAGCUGUAUGGAACAUGAUGAUGAGAUAUUAUCCUGGAAUUCGAGGAUGUUAGAUUAGCAAACUGUUUUACUUAAACCAUUCAGCCAACUUUCUAAGCCCAUUCAGCAUUCCACAGGUUUGGACUAAUACAACUUCGUACAUUCAUAUAACAGGGGUUUAGUACAACAUCGUCUAAUAUGAAGAUCGUCGACAAUUCUGAUUAACAGAAGGCUAAUUAGAAGAAUCAUGGGGAAAAUUGAAUCAGCAUCUUGCUUCCGGUAAUAUUACUUUUACGGGGCAAUGCUUCUGAUUCCAGAGAUGAAAUUGUUGUUAAAUGUACAGCUUUGAGCAACAGAACAAAACAUAAAGGCACCUGUCCUCAAUCCAAGGUUACAGUUAAUCAGCACUAAACUACGAACAUGUGAGCAUGGGUCAUGUUUGGAUUGAUUUCCUAUGUGAUCCAAAUAUACUUCUUUCCAAAAACAAGCUCAAAAUGAAAGAUGGACAACAUAAAGGAACAAUGACUUGGGUUAAGGCUUCAGGCUGCCAUUACAAAUAAAGAAAAGAAAACUCUUGAUGAAAAGAAAUACAGUAACAGAAACAGAUUGGCCUGUAUAGAACUGACAUUAAUCACAUAGGAAGCUAGUUAGCGUGCACUCAUCUCAAAUGCAGUCAUAAUAAGUGUCCACAAUAUUAGUAUAACAAGUAUCUAGAAGAUGGAAAAAAACAGAACAAAAGAUUCAAUUCACGUAAAUGCUCAUCAUAUGAAGUGGAGAACUUGAGAAUAGUUACUACUGAAAUGAAAAUGGUAAUACAUUAGCUAAGUCAGAUGAGCAAAUACAACCUGACGAAGUUCAGGUGAUCAUCUGGUGAACUAUGUUUAGACCAAUCUUCAACGUGAAGCUCUAGAUCAUUUAUAAGAAAAAAAUUUGGAACCAAAUAUGAUUAUGCAAUUAGACUUGAUGGGAAGAAAACACGGCAAACAAAUGUGAAAAAGAAAAACAUAACAAUAUCUUUCUGCUAAUAAACCCGAAAUACAGGAAGACCUGCAUCAUAAGGCAUGAAGAGCAAUAACGACAGGAUGCCAUGUGCAAAAUGUGACAACCAGUACCAUAACCAAGAUGCAACAGAACAGUAGAUCAAACUACACUUCCAAUGUGUCAUUACAAACUUGAACUCAUGAUGAGAAUCUGACAGAAUGACAUAAGAAUAAAAUUUUAAUGGGCAGUUACAGAUGUAUCAUAGUAUGAGCAUCAAAAAGUCGAUUCCAUGUCGAUGCCUGUACAUCCAGACAGGCAUUUUUCUGAAACCAUGAAGUAUCUAAACUGUAUGUCUCAAAGUACCAAUAGUGGUGGGGGUGUAAAAAAAACCACCACCAGUUUUUUCAGGAAUUCACUUGUGGAGAAACAAUUAAACAAAACAGGGUAAUGGAGAAUAGAAAUAUAUGCCCAUGUUCAUUCAGUAUCUCUUUAGAAUUACAAGGGUAUAGAAAAACAGUAUCAUAAGAGCCACAGAUGAGAUCUAAAUAAGUAACCUUGAAUAAAGUGCUACAUAACUGAACCAAACAGAGAAAUGAACUGGAUAUUAAACUUUCAAAGCCUAUAUAUGAAAGAUGUGAGCACCUAAUAGAAAGACUCUCCAGCAACAAAACAGGGAACUUUUGACUGUUCAUAACUAAUAAAUCCCUCACAACCAAAUGCUUCAAAACACAUAAACAAAAGAUACUCACAAGGUCAUUUGAUUUUCGAUCUACUCUUUUGUUCCAAACUGUGGAAUCAUCUAGAAAUAACUUGCUCAUAGGCUUUCUUCUAAAGUCUUACUUCUAAAUCUGCCCCUGCCCUAACUCCCAAACUUGAAUUUUAUAAAGUCUAAUUAUAUCCAAGUUAUAUUUCAUUCAAUAUAUUUUAUAAGCUUCAUUCACUAUUGUCUACUGAGUUUUAAAUAAUAAUAACAUAAUUCAAACACUACAUCUCAAGUAUAAGCUAAACUUCUAAGCACUUCGACACUAGAACUUAAGGUUAAAGGUACUAAUGAUCCUAUCAGGCAUUUUCUGGAUAAGUAACAACAAUCCUGCCACUGCAACACUAGAACUUCAGAUUCCUAGAAUCCUAGUACCUUUCCAUCUCACCUCAAGAAGGAUUGGAGAAGGCUUUUGGGUUAAUUGCCAACGCUCAUCCUCCUUUUGUAUUCAUGCAUCUCUAGUCAAAAGUUUAUUUAUUCAACAGUUAUACAUAUAGUUCACUAUUUUCCACACAUCUUAUUCUUAAUAAAGAUAGAGACCAUCUCUGUGAUAUGACGGAAGAAAUUUAACUGAAAUUUUAAAUAGUUAUAACCUUUCAAUGAUAAAGGUAAACCUUAAGUAUGUCAGACUUCUUAUUACCAUAUUAGAUCUUCUAUUUAUUUCAUAUUCAUGCAACGCUUUUUGGUUCAAGAGCUCUGGAAAUUGAAUGCUUUCAUUUAUCAGAAAAAAUUUUAUGCUUACAUUUACUAUAUCCUGGAAAGAGAAAGAAAACCGGACUAUUAUCCUUGAUAUUUGUAGUACUUAGCAUCAUUGCAUUCUUUCUAAGAAAUAUACCGAAGAAUAUAACCUUGAAAUAGUUGUAUGGAAAUGGAUACUUACAAGAGAAUGGGGAUGAUAUGCAGUUCACCCUAAAAAAAGAGAACAAAAUCUUAAUAAGAUAAUGAAGCUUUUAAAAGUAAACUUAUAGGCUCUAAUCUCACAUAUAUUUAACGGAAAAAAAAAUACAAAAAAAAACCAAAACGAUACAAGAAAUCAUACUAAUAGCUUUACUCACUGAAAUACUAACUUCACAUGGUGCCACAGCGGUUAACCUCUCCAAUGCAAGUGCCUCCAUAAACGACUAUAUCAUGGACCAGCACAAUCCAAUCGUUAGGUAUUAUUCAAACUGAAGACGCCAAAUAAAUUUCGAGGACUACAAUAGUUUAAGACAAUAUCAAUACUGCCAAGCAACAUUUAAAAGAUACUACAAUCAAUAGUUCAAAAUGUUCCCAAAUAUAUAACAAUAGCAUGUGCAUAAAUAGACUAUUAUUCAUGGACUAAUAUAAGAGGUGACAAAUAAAAGUUCUUGUGGUACAUUCCCAUAUCGAUUGCUAGCACAUCCUUGUUCCAAACCACCCCACAAUGUGAGGUGGUAAGUGUUGCAUGAUAAAAUAAACAUGGUCAUAAAAACAUAUGCAUCUGUUCCCUGAGAAAAAUAAACUAGGCGGACAUAUAUAUACUAUCAACGCUGUCGCAAUUUGCUCCCAAUAAAACAAACCAAGGUACCUUCUCCUGAGUGCCUCUAAAUCAUUUAAGCACAGGAAGGUUCUCUCAGAGCAGAAGCAGGCAUCCUGAAGGAAAAACUAUAUUAGACACUUAAGAACCUGAAAGCAAGAAACAAAAUGGCUCGAGAGAAAGAGGUGGGAAGAGAGAGGACAGUAGAAGAUAAAAUCUUGCCAGCCUCCAUAUUAGAGUAAGGAAAAUUAUAAAGUAAUUGUAUAAAAAACCAAAAUAAAAAUGAAGCACUGAAUAUAAACAACAAACCAUCUUCGAAAAAAAAGAAAAAAUAAAUUUUAUUUAACAAAGCACUAAAACUAAUUGGAUUUUUUUGUUCUUACUAAUUUCCUUGCAAGCACAACUGCUGAAAUGUUGUUUGAAGUACAAAAUAAAAGAAAUAAUACGGAAAGCAAGUAUGAACAAAAUUUCAUAAUGGCCACUAUCAAGAAUGAUUACAAGAGGAAGAAACGCUUUCAGCAAGUUGUCUUACAAUAGAAACAGUACAUUUGAUUGAAAGAACCCGCCACUCCUGACCAAUAUGACCCCUUCUGAAUUCAAUCAUCCCAUAAUUGUGCCAGAAGCUUAGGUCAUCAUAAAGAAGACUGGCAAUACCAAGUGAUUAGAAACUGUAUGAAUUAGGUCAUAAUUUACAAGAAAUCUACUAAACUCCGGAGUCAUAAAGGCAGCAACAUUGAUCACUUGCCAGUGAUGAAUGGAUGAUUCAAUGCUUGUGAUACCGUCAUCCUUUUUUCUGGAUCCAACACAAAAAUUUUGUCUAGAAGAUCCUUAAAAUUGGCUAACAUCUUUGGAUCUUCACAAGGAGAUCCCCUAAUAAUUGACCCAAUAUCUUUAGGCUUUAUAUUGACUAUUAUUCGCUUUAUGGUCUGCAAAAGUAGAAUUCAAAUCUCAGUCAGUGUUGAUUCAGCUGCCAUAGAUAGUGGCAUAUUCAAAAUGCAAUACCAUUCACACACAGCAGCAUUUUAAAAUUCUUUAACCAACGAUAUUUGCUUAGCUUAAAAAAUCUUAUGUGUCCAGAAAAUUUAAGUAAAUUGUAAUCAUAUGUGCCAUCAAAUUUUCAGUAAGAUUUUGGUGACACAACAACCCAAACAAGCUAAUGGCUUACGUCCCCGGAAGCAGGAAAAGGGAUAAUAAUUACCUUUUUGGUUACAGGAUCCUCCUCAGAAGCAUGGAAGUUCAAGUCCUGGUCAAAAUGUUGGUCAGUAAAUGCUCCCUGUAAAGAUCAAUAAGAGGGGAAAAAACAUCAGUAGCAAGAAACAUAUAACUCGUAAUUCAGAUACAUUGAUAUUAAACAAAAAUCCUGUCCGGUAGACAAAUCUAUGUACCUUACGAAGCAUCUUCUUUGGAAAAGGGCCCUUUAAUUCCAUGUGUAGGCGAAGCAUGUCAUUAUUAGAAGGACCUGGAAAAAGAACUUUCCCUGUAGAGAGCUCGUACAGACAGCAACCCACCGACCAGAUAUCCAUUGGAUGAUCAUAUGACAGCCCUAAAACUGCAUCAUGCCAAAACAAAACCGGUGAAGCAAUAUCUAAAAUACUUGGAUGCAUAAAGGCUGAGUAACAACAAAUAAAAAUAGAUACACUAUCUCGACCACCAGAUUCAAGAGAUGGAUAAAGUUGAACUAAAAUACUUACUUAUUUCAGGAGCACGAUAAAACCGGCUAACAAGGUAGGGUGUGAUUUCAUUUUUACCAGCAAACAUGGCAUUACCAAAAUCACAAAGCUUCAGCACAUUUUUCCCCUCGUUAACCUAAAAAAAUUUAUCAAACAUCAUGAUAAACAUAAGAUCGACCAAUUAAAUGGAACUAAAACUUGAAAACAUACCAGCAUAUUAUCUGGCUUUAUAUCACAGUGGAGAACACCACAAUUUCUCAAAUGCUUCAGGGCAAUAAAAAGCUGCUUAGCGUAUGCCCUCACAGCAGUUAGCUUAAGGCCAAUAUUGCGCCCAAAUUUCUUCAAGACCUCACGGAGAUUCAUAUGAAGAGAUUCAAAAACUAAACAAAGAUGAUUCCUAUAUUUGAAACUUGAAAGAAAACGAACACAGUGACGCUUGUCAUCUGGAUCUGCACCUACUAGCUUUUUCAAUAUGACCAACUCCUCCAGACCAGCCUUGUACCUGUACAUCACAGAAUGCAGAAGAACAUCAGGUUCUUGAACAGGAAAUAAAAUGAAUACGACAAAGAAUCACCAGAAAUAAAGCAAGAAAAACAUACAUUGUUUCAUUACUACGCAAAAUUUUGAUUGCCACUUCUUCUGGUUCACCAGGACCGGCUUUGAGAUCCUUUGCACGGACCACGGUUGAAAAGACACCUUUUCCAUGAGCAGCAGCAAUUUCAUACCGACUAUCAAGCACUUCCCCAAAUCGAUAGUCUAUAUUCAACACAAAAGUUAAAUAAGCAAGGACUAAAUGAAUUAUAUACAUUUUUAGGUUUUUUGUCCUUCAAUUUCUUGAAUCAAAAGUUGUGAUUCACAUCGAUCUUAUAAUUCAACCUUCUGAAUUGCAGAAUUCAAAUCAUUUUGUAUUCAAAUGAACAAACUAACUCAUGUUAGCUCUGUUAUGUUUUGACUGGGGUGGUGAUACAACGCAUGUAACAUAUGAGAUUAUGUAAUGUAAACUUACUAUAAUAUCCAUCUGCAUCAUCCCAAUUGUCAUGAAGACCACUCCUCUCUAUCUGCAAACCAUCACUUUUUCCCUGCCAACAAAGAAAGAAAAUAUCUAAAUGCCUUUAUGCAGCGAGAAAAAUAGAACCUCAAAAAGCAUAAGUUCUCAUACCAUUUUACGAACUGCAGCAGGUGUUUCUCCAAAAAUGUCAUCACAGAAUAAUCCAUCUGACCCCUCAGCCUGCGGUUAUUAGUAUGAAUAAAAUUUAAAAUUAUAAAAUGAUUCAUCUUCUAAAAAUAAAGAGCACAACUAAGGAAGCAAAAAAUUGCACAAACUGGAGCUCAAGGGAGACUUCAAAGUAUAUAAUUUCAGAAAAAGAGAGGAAUCUACCCUCUUAUACAAGAGAGCAUUCUGCGCACCUUUGGAGUACCCUCUCCAAGUCCUUUAGUACCCGCAGUUUUAUCAGAUGCAAUUGCUCCAUUUUGUUGUGGUGAUUUCUCCACAACAAAAGAUGAGUCAGCAACAGAAUCAUCCACUACCCCAUCAACCAAUUCUGGAAUAGCAUGAGCUGCAGCUUCUGAUUGAGAAGAAUCCUUUCCAGAAUCCUUAUCUGGUCAAAGAGAAAUCAUUGCAAUAAAAAUGAGACUGAGGUAGUUACAAUAUUGUCAAUCUACGUUUCAGAUCUAGCAAAAGCUCUAAACUCUAUCAGACCGUUUGAGAUCAUCUCUACAAGGAAAAUAAAAACCAACCAAAACACAAACUUCCUGUCAGUAAAUUGUUUGACAUCAAAAUAAGAAAGUGGAGACGAGGGAGGAGGGGUGAAGUACUAAGAUUGGGCAGUGGGAAACUUCAAGUAAGAACUUAAGUCCAUGCACAGAAAGUUGGCAGGAAGCAAGUUCAUAAUUGCUGGCUUCUCUGCUUGAUCAAGACUCCCUAAUUGACAAUAAAUGUAGCCCAAUCCAAGUAAAUAAAGAGAUUUUACCUUUCUCAGAUUCCUUCAUAGAAGCCUCUACUUGUUUCUCUAACUGCUGGCAUUUAUAUUUUUCUAAGAUUGCUUGUCUCCGUCUUCUACUCUCCUCUUUGAUCCUGUUAAGAUCCUCCUCUUCUUCAUCAGCUAAUUGAUAUGACAUGCCGUCUCCAUCCUCUUCCUCCUCAUCAUGACCACUAUACAGAAAGAGAAGUUGGGCCAUUGUAAGCAGAUAGACUUCACACUGGCAAAAGGAAACAAUGUGUUUUUUUUUAAAUAAAAAAAAAGGUUACCUCAUUAGCUUGUCUUCACCUUCUUCACGAGUGCUUCUCUUAAAACUACCAUGUUUUUCGACAGCAUUAAUUCUUCCCCCAUCCAAACCAAACUCAUUAUCGUAAUGCCUAGACUGCUUAGAACCUUUAACGUAGCCAUGUUCAAGAUUCCCAUACUUAUCUUUACUACUUAAACUGUCACUGGCUUUAUUCUUGUUUCUAUCGUUGUGUCUCUCCCUAUCUAAUUCUUUAUCCCUAAACCGAUCCUUUUGCACCUCUCUCACUCUCUCCCUGUCUCUAUUUCUAUCACUAUAUUCAGCCUUAUCAUCAUUCCGAUCCCUGUCCCUUCUCCCAUCCCAAUCCACUUCUUUAUCCUUGCUCCUAUCUUUUUCCCUUUCUCUUCUUCUAUCCCUAUUACCCUCUCUAUCGGUGCUCCUACAUCUUUCCUUUUCUGCUCUUCUAUCCCUGUCCACCUCUCUUUCUUUGCUCCAACCUCUCUCCUUCUCCGUUCUUCUAUCCCUUUCUGCUUCUCUUUCCCUGCUCCAACCUCUUUCCCUCUCCACUCUUCUAUCUCUUUGCCCCUCUCUUUCCCUACUCCAACCUCUUUCCUUCCCUCUCCUAUCUCUUUCCACAUCCCUUUCCCUCCUCCUAUCCCCCCUCUCCAACUCUCUUUCCCUGCUCCUCUUUCGUUCCAUCUCCUUUCGUCUAUCUUUACUCCUACCUCUCUCUCUCUCAUCAUACUUUUGCUUAUCUACCCCCCUAUCUUUAUCUUUGUUUUUUCCCAUUUCAUUUUCCUUGGACCAUUCCCUAUCCAACUCCAUCUUACUUCUCCCGUUGUCCUUCGUGUCCCUGCUCCGAUGCCUUCCCUCUCCCCUAACACAUUCAGUGUAAUCAUCAUCCAAGUCAUUGUGAAUUUUAAUUUUAUCAUCAAACAUUGGUUGAUCCCAACCAUGAUAAUGUCUACUCUUUGACUCUGCCUCCUCUUCUACUGUUUCACGAGACUGAGAUUGUCCCCUAGAAUGACAAUUUGACCUUGAUCUACUCCUACAAUCUGAUGCAUCGAUGAAUCGAUCAUGAGAUGUUGAUGGCGUAAAAUCCUCAGACUUGCCUUCAGUUCUUUCUAACUGUGGCCUUUUCCCAUUCCCCAAGGUGUUUCCAUCUGUUGCCACCUUUCCAUUGCCGUUGUUGCUUAUUUUCUUACUAGCCCCUUUAGAAGGAGAUGCCAUUUGUUUGUGCAGCUUCUCAUCUAACUCCAGAGAUUCUUGAUCACAAUCCACUUUGCUAUGACCCUCUCGGCAAUGUUCAAUAUUGUUGUAUUUAGUUCCAGCCACUUCACUCAUGGAAAAGCUAGCAUCAUUGCCAUGCUUACAACCAGAGUCGGUUUGAUAAAGAAUCAUGUUUUCCUUGUUUGUGCCUUUUUUUAGAUAGUAGCCACCUUUGUCCAUGUCUAAAUUAUAGAACUUAGAGUCCAUUUUGGAGGUCUUCUGAUCUUGAGCACCGUUGCCUGCCCCCUCCUUCACAAUAAAAUUAGCCUGGUUAUUAGAUGAUUCAUCCACCGAAUGACACUCCUGCAAACCCAACAAGAGUACAUGAUUAGUGCAGAUGCUUGCAUUCCAAAGUCCCCGAUAAAUUACAUUCAUGCAGUAUUGGAUGCAUAAUAGGAAACACGUAACCAGAUCUUACAAAUUAAAUGCAAGCCUCAAUCUUCACUGAAACGCCUACUGAAACUUCUUUUGCAUUUCACUUGUGUUUGUGAUGUAUAAUCAGAUUCUUACAUAUGCAAGAAAGAAACACUGAGUAAAAGCUAACAAAACGUCACCAUGAAAGUUUGAUCAUAGUCGAAAACUAAAUACAAGAAGAUAAUUCUCAACUGGCAGCUGAUAUCAACGAAAGUAAGUACAUGUAUACCUGUAAAAGGUCAUUGUUCGUUGUUUACAGACAGUUAAAAAUGCCUUCGUUCGUUCUCUAAGAGAAUCAAACCCUUGAAGGUACAUUUGAUUUUCAAAAGUUAAUAACCCUAGUUUUUCUUACAAUUUCACGACAAUCAAAUAGAAAUGUACGAGUAGAGCAACAAGCAACUUAUCAGACUAAAAUAAAAUGGUGUUGGCUGGAACCUUACCAUAGAGGGCUGGUCAAUUCGAUCAGAAAUUUCAUCAGCUUCAGGUUUCCCAAAUUCCACAUCCACCUCCUUCGUCGCGCCCUCGUUCUCGCGAACACCAGACUCGUCCUCUUCCAGAAUUUCACCUUCCUCAACGUCAUCUUCAGGCCGAGAUCUGCGAUUAGCAGCGGGAGGAACACUGUCCUCCCGGUCACGGCAGCUUUCUUCUUCGUUCUUAUUGCUGCUGUGACGAUGUCGGUGGUGGCGGCGAUGGUGACGGUGUUUGUGACGCUUGGAAGAUUUAUCAUCGUCUUCAUCGGAAGCAGAUCGAUGGUGCUUCCGGUGAGCAGUAUCGUUAGCCAUUGGCGUUGCAAGAAAUCUAGGGUUUGUCUCUGAAGCUUUUCGCUCUGUACGCGUUCUGGGCCUUCAGAGAAGAGAUUUGCGCAAAGAGAUAGUUGUAGCGCUGUAGCCUUACGAUAAUUAUUUUUCGGCUAAUAAUAAAAUAAAAACAAACAAAAUGAAACUAUUUAUAAAAUAUAAUCAUUUCCAUACAAAAUGUAUCUUGAACUUUAAUAUUUAUGUCAAAAAUGUCUUUCUUUAACUUAAACUUUAAUAUUUAUGUCAAAUAUGUCUUUCUUUAACUUCAAAAAUAAUAAUAGAUUUUAAAGUGUUAGUUUUUUUUAAGUAAAAAAAUGGUUCGAAGUUUUAAAAGCUUUUAAACCGAUAAUUAAAAACUACAUCUAUCCUUUCAUUUUAAAUAAAAACUGUUAAACUUUUGUUUUAAAAAAAUAAUUCUUUUUUCAAAUGUUUCAAAAAUACAUUUAAUUUAAUAAAGGGUUAAAAAAUGAGCAUUUGGAACGCUAUUUAGUAAAUAUAGCACGUUUUUUUAAAUACUUUUCAUCCUAAAUUUGUUGUUAUUCAUGGACAUUUUUUUCAUUUUUAAUGUCUUACUCGUCUUUUUUUUUUCAUUUUUUAAUGCUCUAAGAAAGCAGUUUGUUUUUUCAAUAGCUAUAUAUUUCUUCUCACUUUUUAAGUAAUUUGUUAUUUCUAUUCUAAUCUUGAUUUUAGGGUAUCAAUGACACAUUAUUUCCAAUGUAAAAUAUAAUGGUCGUUGAUGAGAGUGGUUUAAUUUCAAUGUGUAUUUUGAGUUGAAUAUAGCUUCAAUUUUUUUUUUUGUGUGCUUUUAAGUUGGUUUUGUUUUUAUUAUGUUUUGUAUUAGUUUCGUUUAGUUUUGUAUAUCGGUGCUGUGAAGUACAUAUAUUGUAUGUACUAGUUGAUUGAUUUAUAUUCUAUGUAAUUUCCAAAAUUUAUGCAGCUUAUUGUAGUAUAUUAUUAAGUAUGUGGACGUAUAAUUCAAUGUAUCAUUACAAAGCAUAUCAACAACAUAUUAGUAAAGUUAAUCAUUAUCGUAUAUUUCAAUCAAGUUUACGAGUGCACAUUAACAGCAUGUCAAGUGUAUAACUAGAACUUCAAACAUAUCAAGUGUAUCAGUAAAUAAUACCGAGUGUUUAUGUGGCACAACAAGUGUAUAAACAUAUCAAACAUAUAAAAUUUGCUGAGUGUAUCAACAAAGUAUAACAGAUUAAUUAGCAGUGUAUUAAACUUAUCAGUUAAGCACCUAAGUGUAUCAAUGUCGAAAGGGUAUCAAGUGUAACAAGGAGUACUAUGUGUAUCAAGGUGUUUUAAGUGUUGCAAAUGGUAUAAGUGUAUCAAAUAAUAUAACGAUUCAUAAAGUGUAUCAUACAUCAAAAUGUUAUCAAUAAGUAUCAAAUAUGUAUCACGUGUAUCAAGGGAUAUUAAGUAUAUCAUACGUGUAUCAGGUGUAUCAAAUGCGUACUAUUAAUGACGACAUCUGUGACAUUUUAUAUAUUGUAUACGUGGGUUGAUAAUUAUUUUUGCUACUUUUGCAAAACGUGCGUGUUAUGAACUUCCUUACUAUAACCUUUUUUUUUUCAAGUGUUCCAAUAAUAAAAUAAAAAAUGCUCUCAAUCAAUUAUGGUGAUCAAUUUGUUUGAAGCUUCCUUGAUUUGAAAAUAUUAAAAUAUGAAACAAUUUAUAUAGAUAUUCAACAUAAACUUAGCCAACUGGCACAUGUAUGUUCAUGUGGAUAAGAGUUAUCGGGUUCAAAUCUCCACCCCAACAUUUAUUACAAUACCUUUGCAUUUCUAAAUUUUCUCAAAUAUUUGAUUACUUUACACUAAAAUAAAGUUUGUAGCUAACACAUGCCCUUCAAAGUGUGCUCAACUUCCACAAAUAACAUCUUUUGAAGUAGUACGCCAAUUUUGUUGCAUCAAAAGGCAAUAUUUAUAUUCUUUCCAAACAUAUUUUCAUCUGGAAAGAAAAAAAUACAAAGGCAAUCUCUUAAACUUUUUUUCUUUGAAACUAAACAACGUGAGAAAUAUUCCACCAUAGUUAUCUGCAAGGAGAAGCAAACAAUCUCCUGAUUGUUGAAACUCUUGAUGGAAUUUGCGAUCUUCGAGUCAAUAUCACUUUCUUGUCCAACAAAUUCACCACCACAGACUCUGUAUCUAUACCCAACCGAAAUUCAUCAAAUCAAUGAUACUCCAAUUAUAUCAUAAUCAACCAUUGGUUUCUUAAAAGCUUUGUUUGUUUUUCCAUCAGCAUGUAUCAACGUUCUCAUCUUUCUAAAUAAAUACAAAUGAUUUUUCAAAGCCUACUUUGAUAGUGAAAAGCUGAAAUCCAUACAGCCAAAGUUAACUAUUUUAUUUUGAACUAAAACAAGCCUUAAUCAAAACUUUUAUAAUAAAACACCUCUAGAAGGUAGAUUAAAGAAUCUAAAACAAAAAGGUAAAGAUAGUAAUUUUCUAAAGUUCCCUUUGGCUUUGAUAAGGAUUUUAUUCAUUUAUGUUUGUUUACCCACUAAUUUUUAACUAUGAAUUUCAAAUUUAUUGAAUAAACCCAAGUUAAAUUCUAAAACACAUAUAUGGAUAUUAAAAUCUAAACUUACAAACAGGCCUAAAUAAUUCUCAAACCAUACCCGAUAUUUUCCCAAAAAACAGUCUUAAAACAAAGCCAAAACAUCAGAUUCCAUACAUGAACAAAAUAAAAAAAAAAUACUUAAGAUGGAACGAAGUUCCCCAAAAACAGAGUAGAAUGUCACCGUUCAUUUUGGAGAGUAUAUUGGCCAGUUUCUUCUGACACUCAGCACAACCAAUAUCGGCAGUCAACACAAUUUCCUGAACCUGAAAAUCAACAAUCGUCCGCCAUUAAAUUAGAGCCACAAGAAGACAACGUCAGAACAAAUGCAAGAGGAACAGAGGAAAAAGCAGAGACAAGAGGCAGAGUUAAGGACUCAAUGGAAGCAAGACUAGAAGCAUGAGGAAAAAUCCUUUUCUUCCGAACUCCGAUUCCGACCACCACCGCGCCCAUGCUCCGCCUCCGAUUCAAAGGAAGAAGAUUUUUAUGUGUGAGUUAUUGUGAAAAAAGGGGAUUGGAUGAUUAUAUAAGUGGUUGGGAAAAGAGAGGAGGAAGAUAAUGGAGAGUAAGUAAAAGGGGAGCCGUGAGAGUGAAAUGAUGAUGAUGAUGAGAAAGAGUUGACAAAGAUGGUUGGUUUCACAAUCACACAGCUGCUUUCCGCAAAGGGCUUUGCCUAAUUUUUUCUUCUCGCAAGGAAAGGAUGAUGAUUCCUUCGAGGUUGCUUCUGUGACCAAACACUUGCACGUUUCGGGAUAAUGCAGUAAAAUAUUGCUUGUGCAGUUAUUUUUUCUUCUUAAAUGAAACUACUAAAUUAUCUAAUUGUAGUUUCUUAUAUUUUUUCUAUAUAUUGUACCUUAUUUUGUUGAUUGACAUUUGUGUUAAUAAAUUGUUUACUUUUGGUAUUUCUGCAUAGUUAACUUUCACAUAUUUGACAUUGGCUUUUUAAACAAUUAUGAACACGAGUAUUGUUCUGUUUAAAAAAAUGAUGGAAGGUCCACUAACAUUAAAAUAAAUAUUUACAACUAUAAAACUAUAGUGUAAAUAAAUGAAGUAUAAUAGUGGGAAUAGUCUAUAGUUGUAGCAUCUAUUUCUAUUUAACAUUUAAUGUGACAUCAUUUUUCUUCAUGAAUUUCACCUCGUAUUUAAUUUCUUGUUGAUUCAUAAAAAUUAAAUUUAUAUCUAAUAACUAUUUUUUAACAAAUCCAUCCAUAACUUAUAAGACUAAAUGAAACUUUGAGUAACUUAAAAUUCAAUGUAGUGAAAAACAUUAAUACAAAUUUUGUAGCAAAAUAAUCAUGUUAUCACAAUUAUAGUCAAAGUGAUAUUAGCUAAGUGGUAACUCUACGGCGUUCUUCCUUAAAAGUUAGAGGUUUUACUUCUUACCUUUUAACGGUUAUACAAAAAAAAAAAAAAGAACCCAACAAUUUUAUUUUGAUCAACAAUCUUGAUGACAAACGACACGACCACGUAAUAUUUGUUGUCAUUCAUGUUUAUAAUCAAAAGUUAACUUUGGAACUAUUUACUUUCAUUUGAAAGAGAAAAGCAAACCCCAAAAUUUAGAAGCGAGCAAUGAACGAACCGAACAAAAAUGAAAGUGAGAAUAUAAAUGUAUGGUUUAUAAAGACUUACAAUUAAUUGAUAGCAAUCACAUGUACGUGACUUCAUAAUAAAUUAUUGUAAAGAAAUACAUGAACAACCAUAAAAUAUGCUACAACAGGAUUUCAAGAGUUGAAUGCAACAUAAUAUUAACUGUUUCUGUUAAAAUACAACAACGAAAUACAUUUUUUAAUAAAUCUUUAAAGGUUAAAAAAAAAAGUAUUUUUCACACAAAUUAGAAAGGUUAAAGACAUAUUUUAUAAUUUAGUUUUAUUUACGUCUAUUCUUUUGUUGGUUUUGUGUCAGAUGGAGACAACGACGUCGUACUGCAGAAGGAAAAGGGAAAGCUGCUAGAACUAUAAGGAAACGACAGAUCCCACGCCAAGUUCCCAACGGCUCCAAGGACUAUACGACUCCGUGUCUUCAUUUUAAUUUAUGUAAUUAGCUUGUAAUUAAAGCUCUAAUCUCCAUCGAUGUGGAUUAGGGGUACUAAUCAUGGGCGCUCCACUACCAACAAACAAUAAAGUUACAUUUCGCAUCCAUGUAUUCAUUUUCAGUUUUUAACCAUUUUUUAGUUCUUGGAUUUUAGGGCCUAUUUUGGCGUUUUACAAAACACCCUCUUUUUAACAGAUUAUGACGCCAACUCAAUAAAUUAUGACAACAUACUUUUUUUAAAUAGCUAUGAUUUUAAUUUUUAUUGGUCCUUUCCUUUAAAUUGGUAUAAUUUUCGUACAAAGGGAACAGAGUCUAUCAAUCAUUAAACGUGGGCCUUUUAUUUACUUAUGACAACUUUUAAUUAAUGAAUUGUUUUUCUUUCCUUUCUUCUUGCAUGCUAAAGUCAGUUGAUUUAGUACAUGUCGUACUCUACAAUUGUUUGAUUAAAAAAAUGCUAUUUUUAAUAUAUAACUAGAAAAUAAACAUAUCAUCAUUUUAAUGGAUUACCUUGAGUUUUGAGAGGAUUCAAGUUCAUAUGGCUCUAGAAGUUUGCAUGUUGUGGAAUGAUCAAUUAAAGUUUUUAUUAUUGAAAUGGUUGAGUUGAGCUCUCCAUUUGUUUUAUGAAAGAGGGGGAUGAUUAAUGGCAUGGACUUUGAGGAUACAUGGGAUGAUGAGUUUUAUAAUCAAGGUAAUAUUACCACCUAUAAUGUAUCCAAACCAUACUUAGUUUAAUAUUUUACGCUUUACUAAUUGACUUAUAGAUUGAAUUGUGGGUGACCGGACCUACUUUGGUGCGAGCUCAUUUUAUGUGCAUGAUUCAAAAUAACCUACAUGACAACAUAUUUUUUUAUAUAUUUGUAAUAAUGAGAGUCACCAAAAUGGGCCUAAGAACUAUUAGAAUGUAACCUCCAUCGUCAUGGAACAAUCUUUCCAUUAUAGCAAACAACCAAAAGAAACCAAAAAAUAAAAAAUAAAAAAGUGAAUAGAUAAAAUGAUUACCUUAGCUUUGUUUUUAAUAUUUUGACGACAAGUCGACCCAAGUCCUUACCAUAGUGUCGAUUUGCUAGUUGAAUAUUGACCUCAUGGUAUUAUUAUUAUUGGAUCCAACCUAAUUUCUAUUCAAUUCCAAAAUAUCUCACAAGAAUGAAACUCAAACAAUUGUUUCAACUUUAAAAGUACUAUUUGUUCAACAUAGAUGUAUAUAAAACAGUGGUUUUCCAAUUUGCAACUCAUUUAGAUACAACAAACAAAAUUAAAAUGAACAGUGUUUUUUAGUUCCUUUAUUAAAUAAAUAUAAAAUUUAUACUCUCGACCUCCUAAACUCCAUAUUUUCUUUAGCUCGUUCUACCAUUUUGUACUCUACCUUAUAAUACUUAAAAGUCAUUUAAACUUGAAAUGAGUGAGAAAUUAGGACGUGAAUAAUUAUGAAAAUCAGUAUCCAUGUCAAUUAACAAAUUAAAGUGACUUUAACCAAUAACCUAUACAUUUGACAUAUGAUUGAUAGAUACACAAAUAAGUUAUUUCAUGCAAGGCGUGCAAUGUAUGCAUAUCCAACUCUCUUUUUCCUCUCCCCACUGCUUCUAUCUUCCAUUUUGUCUCCUCUUCUCGCUGUAUAUUAAUUAAAAAAAUGUUGAAUUUUUUAAAGAUAACACAGAGGGCUGUGUUUGGAAAUAAAUUUAUAAAAACCACAUCUGUAUUAAAGAGAAAGAAAACUACUGCGAGUCAUAUAUGUUUUCAUUGGCACCUUGGGAAAUUAAACGAUAUAUUAACUUGAGGGAAUUAAAUACAAAGCCCAAAUCUCUCAGAAGUUUAUGGGCCCAAAUAGGAAGAGUUCGUGGAUCAAAAUUAAAUGAAACGAAACGUAGCCGAGUCAAAGUCCUGAAAGUAGGGUGGCCCAGGCUCUAUAACCUUUUGAUGGAUUUGGGCCUACUCUUGUUCCCAAAGCUUUUUUUGGGCCUAACUUUUUUUAUUUCAUCUAAACAAUUAUUUACUAAAAUUCAACUUCUAAAUUGAUAUAAUUAUUAAUUAUUUUGACCGUACCUUUGUGUUUAAAGUUUCCUCCUCCAAAUUACUAUACCAAAAGUCUGACGUUGAAUUUUAUGUGAGUGGAAAUUUAAUUUUCAAAGUUAUACAAUAUAUAAUCAAGGUGGCAAGUAGAUUUUAGAACUUUCAAAAUUGUACCAAGGUUGUUCAAAUUUUUAAUAAUUUUUUAAAGUUGAGACCUACACUCUAAUAAACUUGGAUACACUAACUUAGCAAAGUAGAGAACAUGUUUUAGAUUUAUAAUGUCUAUAUAUGUAAUUUUUGGGCAAAUCACAAAAAUAAUUCCUAAUGGUAGUUAAAGAGUACUUUUAUGUAAGUUUUAAAAUUGGGGUACAUCCAACCUUCCAAUUUACACAAUUAUAAAUUGUCACAUUUGUAUCAAAAGUUACGAGUUCAACUUUAUAGUAUCGUUGUAAGUUUAGGAUUGUGAUUUUUAGUAUGCAAAAUAGGAGGAAUUUUGGUAUUUGGCAACAAGCCUAAAAUUCUUCAAUAAAUCGAAUGGGACCAAAAAAGAAAGGAAGGAAAAGUAGGGAAAAGGAGAGAUUUGAGUGAGCCAAAUGUAGGCGAUGGAAACAGAGUUGAAGUAGCUCAAAUCUCCCAACGAACGCCUCGUCCUCUCCGCCCUUUUUCUCUUAAACUUCUCUUCCAAAUCUCCACACACACUUCUCUCUAACAGAUCUUCUCCAUUUCUCCAAUGGCAUCCCCCUUCCUUUCUCGAGCUGCUCUCUCCAGCAACACCACCUCCGUUCCAUUUUCAUUCUCUUAUUCAGUCUCUUCUCGCCUCCCAUGGAGCUCUUCUCGUUCACACACCUCAGUUCCCGCUAAUUAUCGUCGGAGGCUUCCCGUCAUUCAAUCCAAGAUUAGGGAGAUUUUCAUGCCUGCCCUUAGCUCCACCAUGACCGAGGGCAAGAUCGUUUCGUGGGUCAAAUCCGAAGGGGACGUUCUAUCCAAAGGCGAGAGCGUUGUCGUUGUGGAGUCUGAUAAGGCCGACAUGGAUGUUGAGACUUUCUAUGACGGAAUUCUCGCUGCUAUUGUUGUUGGAGAGGGUGAAACUGCUCCUGUUGGAGCUCCGAUUGGUUUAUUGGCUGAGACUGAAGAGGAAGUUGCUGAGGCUAAGGCUAAAGCUGCGUCUAAAUCCACUUCGGCUCCUGCAGCUCCUGCGGCUGCUGUUUCUCCCUCUCCUCCCCCUCCCUCUUCGAGUCCUGCUCCGGCAAUAUCUCAGUCAUCGCCUCCGUCGGACGGGCCCAAGAAGAUCGUGGCUACUCCUCAGGCGAAGAAGCUAGCUAAACAGCAUAAGGUGGAUAUUGGAUCGGUAACUGGUACUGGUCCAUUCGGUCGAAUUACUCCCGCGGAUGUGGAGGCUGCCGCUGGAAUUGCCCCUUCGAAGCCUGCUGUAAGCAAUGUAGCUUCACCCGUGGCUGCUGAGGCUGCCGCGGUUCCAUCGAAAGCUUCUGCAGCUCCUUCCAACUUGCCUCCUCCAGUUCCAGGCUCGACUGUUGUGCCAUUCACGACAAUGCAGGCGGCGGUGUCUAAGAAUAUGGUGGAGAGUCUCUCUGUUCCUACAUUCAGAGUUGGUUAUCCGGUGUCCACUGAUGCUUUGGAUGCCCUCUAUGAGAAGGUACAUGAAAUAUUUGCAUGAUUUAGUGGAUUUUUCCAUCCGUUUGGAAGUUGUUGACCAUUUAAUUGGGCAAUUGCAACGAUUUCAGGUGAAACCAAAGGGUGUCACAAUGACUGCCCUCUUGGCCAAGGCUGCUGCAAUGGCCCUCGCUCAGCAUCCUGUUGUAAAUGCAAGCUGUAAAGACGGGAAAAGUUUUACGUAUAAUAGCAACAUUAAUAUUGCAGUAGCCGUGGCUAUCAACGGUGGGUUGAUAACACCUGUUCUUCAGGAUGCAGAUAAGGCGAGUUGAUUACUUUACGGAUUAAUAUCGUUGGAUGUACUGAGGCGUGUUAUAGAUAUUGUUCUUUUGGGUAUCUUCUUAUUUUUCUUUUAUCAUUGCAGUUGGACCUCUACCUGCUGUCUCAAAAAUGGAAAGAAUUGGUUGAGAAAGCUAGAUCCAAGCAGCUUCAGCCCCAUGAAUACAAUUCAGGUACCAACACUUCCCUGUGUGUGUUUGAGUUUACCUAAGCCAUGGGGCGGACUGAAAUUGAAUUGUGCUACCUGUAGGAACUUUUACACUUUCCAAUCUGGGGAUGUUUGGAGUGGACAAGUUCGAUGCUAUACUUCCUCCUGGCCAGGUGAGUAAUCAGAGUUUGGCUAUACAUAGGCAAUGGAUUUUUCUGGUCCCUUUGUUUCUUUGCGUUUUGUGUUGAUUAUUCCACAUUAUUUCAGGGAGCUAUCAUGGCCGUUGGAGCAUCAAAGCCUACUGUUGUCACUGAUGCUGAUGGCUUUUUCAGCGUGAAAAGUAAAAUGUUGGUGAGUUUUCUGUUUCUUCUAACAUUUUGUUCCGUUCUCAUUUCUGUUUAUUAUGAAUGCUGAAUUUAAGGUUAGUUACUGUGCAGUCCUAAUCUUAAGAGGAAUUAGUUAAGCCAAUAAGACAUCUAAACUAUAUUGAACUGUAUUCAUGGAUCAUGAUCAAUACAAGGAUUCUUAGGUUAAGCUUUCCGAAGAAAUGUUAACAAUAGUUCAGGAAAUGAAUGGAAGGCAUGGAAACAGACAGGCCCGUGUUUAAAUUUACACAGGAACUAGUUUUAUUUGCUUGAAAAUGACUUGUGUUUGGUUGAUAGAAAUGAGAUCUGUUAGAUCUGAUCUUGAUCUUUAUACUGUCUAGUAUCUAUCCUACCUUGGAGAAAAACGAUGUUAGAAUUUCUGGCUUGGACUUUUUCUUGGGUGUUGGCACCAGCGAGUAUAAGCUCCCUAGAAAGCCAUUUUUACGGGGGUUCUGUAUUACAAAUACACUUGCAAGAGAAGCCAGAGAGGGAAUGAAGGAAAAGCCUUUAUGAGAUUACCAUUCAGAGGGUUUGGUAGAGAAUAUGUCAGAUUUGUCCUUGCACCCUGUCCCAGGGGGCAUCACUAUAGUGCCCAAGAAGAAGUCAUGUAGCUCUAUCAAUCAUUAAAAUUUCUUCUGAUAUUAUGGUUCCAUCAAAAAGAGCGAAUACAACGUUGGCUACUAAAAAUUUCUUCUCCACGAGAGAGUAAAAUAUGUAAAAAUGGACGGAGAAAGCCAAUCAACCUUCCUAGAAGUCUUCUCAAGAAAGGGCACUUUUACACUUACGAAAAUGGAUUUUGGUCUUUUUGGCCAUAACCGUUGGAUCUAUUGCCUUAACCAUUUAGGAUUUUCAGCAAUGCUUCUUUCCUUUAAAUGUGGCCAACCAAAUGGAAGGUCUUUGGUGCUCAGUCCUAUUUUUCUGAUUAUAUAACAACUUCAGUUCGGUUUUUCAGUCUUGAAGCCACUGAAUACUGAUUUUAUUCGGUUGGCGCAACUGAGCACCCUAUUUGGCAUACAGCUGACCUUUGCCUAAUUUCAUGUAACUACAAACUUCCACUCUGAAUAUUAUUAGAGAUAGCAAGUACAUGCGUACAUAACGACAUUUCAUAUCUCCACAAAGACUUAGAGGGUUGGUAAAGUUUAUCUGUACUUAUGGUAGUGGUUUUGUGUAGAGCAAUUCUUCUUAAUCAUUCUAUAAUUAUUUUCUUGUAUUCUGGUGUGGUGUGCAAAGCUUCUAGUCUAGUGGACGUUGGCGGAAAACCUUUCUAGUGUAUAGACGUCUUAUUGACUGGCAAAUUCUGCAUUUUGCAGGUGAAUGUGACUGCUGAUCACCGAAUAGUUUAUGGUGCUGACUUGGCUGCCUUCCUUCAGACCUUCGCAAAGAUAGUUGAGAAUCCAGAAAGCCUGACCUUGUAGAAAGUCUUCAUUUGCAUAUUUCAUGAUCAAUUAAAACUUGACUGCAGGAGGAAUGAAAAACAAAAGUCCUUUUGUUUUUGUUUUUUGUUUUUUGUUCUUUUUUGGCCACGGAAUGAUGGAAGCUUAAGUUAAAUAGAGUCCCAGAGGAAUCCCUUUUGUGCAUGAGGUCCUAUUGAUACUUUAUUUUGAUAGAUACUUCAUAUUUAUUUUCUAUUUCUAAAAGAUUUGAAGAGUAAUAAUGAGUUGAUUUACUUUUUCUAAAUUGUUGUUGCGUAUGGAAAUGUAAUUGGUAGAAACUCAAUGGAAGAAGUUCGUUUUUAUCCAUUUGACAAAGAUAUUUGAUAAAGAAACAGUUUCUUAAACAACUCCUAACCUUCAAACUUUUGCCGGACAAUAGUUUACGUUGAGAAUCAUAUCCUUCAACUGAUCCAAAUUCUACUGUUUUUCCCUUUUGUUUUAUACUCAAAUUGAAAGGUACUGUGACCUUUUACCAUGAUCUGUCCUAUACUCCAAAACGAUCAGACGUUAUGAGUUCAAAUAUUAUAUAUAUACAGAUAAUAACACUAAACAAAAUGUGUAGUACAAAGGAAAAUAGUUUAUGUUGAAAUCAUAUCCUUCAACUUUCUUUUGCUACCAACUCCGUCAGAAAUGAGGUGCUGCUUUGCUUUAGAUAGGAUUAGUGAAGAAUCAAUUGUCUACAUGAGGUCAAACGUCACCAGUCCAAGCUGAUCUUCCUAGAAAUGUAAAGCUUGUCAAUAUAUUCUAUAACCGGGCCCGAAGCAUUGAUAUACCUUCUCAUUUUCUUCUCUGCCGACUGAUCUGUAAUGGCGAAAAAGGUGCUGUAAAUUUACUUGUGCAUACAACAUAUUUAGCCCUAUAAUUAGGAAGAGUAAAUGAAAUGAGCAUCAUACUGGUUUCGUUAAGCUUUAACAAAAGCUGCUCCCUUGUUGGAAGAGUAUACAUUCCAGCUGAAACUGCUGUUCUGACUGCCCAGCUAUGGUAGGGCGCGCAUACUCGGGUAUAAGCUGUUGAGGCAGCAUCUCUUAAUGAAUAUUCACUGAAGGCACAAGUGAGAAGUUUGGUAAGUUUCCCCUUUUCAAUAUUCAAAUAAGAGGUCCAAAAUUGAUGUAAGUAUCUGCUGACGGAUGAAGAGGUUUGAAGUUCAAAUACUGUUGACUUCCUAUUAGAUUCAAGCCUUUUUUCCUUUUUUUAAACAAUAUUAUAUUACUACAUUAUGAAUAUGGAAAGAGAGUUUGAUCCCUGAUGCCUGCCUAUAUGAACUAGGUUUCGAAUUCAUGGAUCCAAUUAAGAAGCAUUUAAUCAUUCAUAUAAAUUCUUCUGUAGCGGGAGAAACAGGGUAAAGAUGAUCCAAAGAUCAGAAGGUAACGACAAAACAUUUUUUCUGUAAAAAGGGUGAAACAAAUCCAUCACUUCAUGAACUUCUGAGAAACAUUGACAAAAAAGGAAAUGGACAUUACUUCUUCCAUCUUCAUUGCAAAAAGUAAUAUCAAAAUGGUUAGAGAGCUUACUCAGUGGACAUGAACUGUUCAAACAGAGCUCUAAUAAGGUCCAAUCCUUGCCGAACUCGACGCAGAUUGCGAGAAUGGCUUCCAGGCGUUUUGACCGUGUCAUUUGCAAUAUCAGCAUCAAGUAUCGUAUGCAAUGUCUCAUAUUUCUUGGAAGCUUCCACAAGAUCACGCACCUAAAAGCAAAAAAAAAAAAAAAAAACUCAUAAAAUCGGGGUGAUUCCAUUUGAAUUCCAAAUAUCAUUGACCAUUCAAAUUUCAUUCUAUUUGCAAUCUGAUAAAGAAACAAAAUAGAAGAUGAAGAAUUUAGAGGAAUAUAACCUUGGAGACGUACUCUAACUCAGCGAAUUUGAAGGCGAGGCCAAGAGAACUGAAAAGAAUAGAGACAAGAGAACAAGCAUCACAGAGCGUAUCCAAUCGGAGUUCUUGAGAAGAAUUCUUCAAAGAUUUUACUAAUUUGGCAAGCCCUUCGAAGGACUCGGCUAUGGCGGUAAGGGGGGUCGCACCAUUAUCCAUUUUUAUGGGCGCUCAAAAUCCAAAGCCACAUCCACCACCAUUAUACAUGAAAGUUUUUUUCACAGAAUCAUUGGAGAUUUCAAAGAAAUGGAGACUGAGAGAAGAAAGUAAUGGGAACCCAGUUGGGAAUUUGCAAGUAAUGGAAGGAAUUUCAACUUUUCUUAUGUGAAGAAUCUGUAAUGGAAACUGGGGAUUUGGAUGAAUGUUUCUUUUUAUUUCUUAUUGUGUGGGUUUGGGAAGUUGGGAAGUUUGCUACGGAUGCGGUUUGUCCAACAGAAUUUUGAAAUUUCGAAACGCUGAAUAGAGGAGAGAGAGAAGAGAGAGAAAGUGGUGUAUGGUUCAUGGCUGUGUGCUCACUAAUUUCGCGUCAUAUCAGUUGGAAACCUUCUUAGAAAAUCGAAAUAAUAAAUCAACCUUUCAUUCUCGUUUUUAUUUUCUUCUAAAAAAAACAUUUUGUGUUAUUAAAUCAAACAAAUAUUUACCAUUUAUUGAAACGAAAAAAAAAUGUCUCUGGAAUUAAAAAUACAAAAAAUUUACAGAUGAAAUAAAAUAAAAGAUGUACUUUACUUUUAUUAAUUUUUAACAUAUUGGUAUUAUUUCUGUAUAAAUGUCUAAUCCUUUCUCAUUAAAAAUGAGAUGCAUUGAAGUUCGAUUAGAUAACAUGGUUAAGGAUAUAAAAUCCUCCAUUUUGUUAAACUAAUAAAAAAUAGUUAAAUUACAAGUCGAAUGUGCGGUAAUUUCUCUACAAAGUUAAAAACUUCAAAUUUCUAUUAGCAUAUUAAAUAAUGGUAUUUUUUUUUUUUGGGUAGAUAUACUAUAUCUGAUAUAGUAUAGUAGAUUAGUAAACUGUAAAAAGAUAAAAUAAAUAAAAACUUGACUAAAUCUGUUGUUAGUACUAUAAACAACAUCAUAAACUAAAUUGAUAAUUUAUGGAAAUUUUGACUUAGUCUCUUCCUAGUUGAAUGGACCAUAGAUGAUUGUCCAAAUUAAUUGUCAGAACAAAAAUUUCAAUUGAUCCUUUCUUACACUUGCAUUCUUAAGAAGCGAUAGAUGUUACAUUUAGGAUGUAAUUAAUAUAAACGAGUAUCCACAAUCAUGUACUAACACGGGAUGAGAUAAAUCCAUAUGACUCCCAAUGUCACUAAGAAAAGAUAGAUAAUGUCUUGGAUUUAGAUAUAGUGAUAGCAUUUUUGCAACUUUUUAACAAAAGAAACUUUAGUACUUACCGUCCUCUGACCUUAGGAACACUUAUGAAUGUGAAAUUGACAGAUAGUACGGAUUCCAUUACAUUUUUAUAAGUUAGAAUGAUCACCAUGCCUGUUUGAUCCUUUAGCCUAAGAGACCAUCACUGUCAAAAUAAUAGACUCGGAAGAAACCCAUUUUUGGUAACGGAAAAAAAAUACAAAGAAAAUGUGGAAAAGGGAAAGAUAAACAAGGGAAUAGAAUAAAAGGUAGAGAUGAGAAUGAGAGAAGGGAGUACUGAGUUGCGAAUUAAAAUUUAAGGGAAAGAUACAGAGAGAGAAAGAGAGAGAGAGAGAGAGAGAGAGAGAGAGAGAGAGAGAGAGAGAGAGAGAGAGAGAGAGAAGGAUAAAACGCAUCUUCACAUCUAUGUUCACAGCAAACACAAUUCACAAUGUUGCCAAAGGGCGAAAAAAGAUAAAAGACAGAUUUAAAGAGGGAAGCACGACGGAUAAAUACAGAUUCUUUCCUUUUUGUUUAGAUGAUGUUGGAUUCGCUGUCUUUUUCAUAUACCUUUUUUUUCUUUCACUUUUCUUUUUCCUUCGUUUUUUUGGUGGGCUUAUUAAAAUUGGAAGGAGAAUCGGGACUUAGUUCUGAUUACCCUCAAAUUCGUGGAUAUGAUCUAAAAGAUAGUUGGCAGCCAUUUCCUCGUUUUUGUUGCAUGCAAAGAAAACCUCCACAACUAGACCUCUGUCGAAACCCAUAUCCUCAAGCUGAAUGGAAAACGAAGACAAAAAAAAAAAAAAGAAAAAAAAACAUCAACGAUAAAGUUAAACAAAACCAGUUGAAUCCAAUUGCCUCUCUCUUAAAGUUAUAUUACAUUUUAAAACGUUCAAGAUCAUGUCUAUUUGGAUCCAUUUACAGAUAAGUUCCAAAGCUUAAGGGUCCAUCUUAUAGAUUCUUUACAUUUUCAAUGGUGUCAAGCUCAUUGAUCUAUUGUUAGACUUUCUUUUUUAUAUUCAAACCUACUGUUAGACUUGAAUUAAAAGGUUGAAAAAGAAAUUUUUUAAUUUAUUAUUUUAAUAAAUUGGUUAAAUUUUAAAAUCUGAAAAGAUGGCAUAAAAUUGAAAGUUUAAUGAUCUAUAUGAUGAUACAUAUAGAUAAUUAAUUGAAAGCUCGAAAGACCAAUUAGACACUUAAAAUGGACAAGAUGCCAAAUUGAGAGAAUUUCACUUGUAAUUGGAUAUUACAUAUAGAUAGAUAGAAUUCUCUCUAAAACAGUUCUGGUUAUCUAGUAAUAGAGAAGGUAAACUAACCCGUUGAAUGGCUUCACGCUCCUCCGGGGUUACAGUUAUAGCCUGGGGCAUAGCCUCAGCUAGCUGCCCAAGUAUAUUCCUGAACAAGUUUACAGAUAUUAUCAUUAAUCCAAAAACUUCCAUCUUUGUUUCAAAAUAAGUGAAAGAAAAAAGACGCACCCUUCUCCUUCGAGGGGCUCAUUAAUCAAGCGAAGGAAGUCAGGUUGAUGAUCUUGAAUAAGCCUAAUCAGCUGAGGAUUUUGUUUACCCAACUCUUGAAGCAUAGGCUGAAACAAAAUUAAGGAAAAGGAACUUGUGUAAAUCGAACCUCAUGUUUAGAAAAAGGUAUUAAUAGUGGAUGAAGCACCUGGAGUAUCUGAGGGUUAGCUCGGACCAUUGCUCGCAAAGCUUGGAACUGAGACAGGCAAAAACAGAUUUCAGAAGCAGGAGAUACAUGAAGUGAACGUGCCAGUUUGGAAUAAUUAGGAAAGAGAGAGACCUGAGGACUAUUUCGUAGAAAAUCAAGACUGCCGGAACCAACAGCUCCGGAACCAAGAUUAGGCAAGCCCUGAAGAAAAGACAAUUAGGUCCAUUAAUUUGCAAGUUUGAAAAAGCCCACAAUUGCUUGAAUUUCCUUUUUCCUAGCAAACUUGUAAUAUUAUAACAGGCCUAUCAAGUUGCUGAACUUAUCUUUUCCUACCUGAGGAAAGAGAUCUAAUGGAUUAGCAUUUGGGCCAGUCGAUGACGGCGCAGAUGCAGGUUGGGCUGGCUGUGCAGGUUGAGCAGAAGGGUUGCUUGCUUGCACGGUAGACGGAACUCGAGCAGGUGGGGCUUCAACUUGUUCAGGUAUUCCCUAUAUAUGUGAUAAUUUUGUUCAGGCAAUACAUCCUAAACAAAUUAAACUUGGAGAUAAAAGUGUGCCCAUUUAUUCCUUCACCACACAGGAUCGGAUCAUCAAGCCAUAGGAAGUAAAAUUACAGGCCAAGGCCCAUUCCCCGACUGAAGGAAAUCCUCAAAAGAAAACUUAACUAAAAUAUAACGAGUCAAGAAUAACAGGAGAACUGGAAGAUAUUAAUGAACUUACAGAAUAAAGGUAAUCAACAGCCCUUUCUGGAUUGUUGUAAGCAGCACGGAGCGCCCGAACAACAGUGUCCCUGUCCCAAACCCCUUCGCCCAUGUCAAGAAUCUGUUGGACAGUCUCCUCCAAGUUACUACCAGCAACCAGGUUAGAAGCUGCUUGGCUAUAGACAUCGGCAUCCGGCCUGUGUUUCAGAGUGUAAUAGAGAAAAUUUAGAAAACUAGAACUCUGAAGAGAAAGAUAGAGAGAAAGAUCCUAUAUAAUGGAAGAUGGAAUAUGAAAAAACAUCAAGAGAAGGGUAGAAGUCCUCACAAAACAGUAGUUGCAAGAGAUGGAGCUGGAGCUGCAGCCGGAGUAGGAGUAGGAGUAGGAGUAGGAGCAGGAGCAGGAGCAGGAACAGGAACAGGAGUGGGAGAGGGAGCGGGAGGAGAAGAAGCAGUAACACUAGCAGGCCUGAAGUAUAGAUCAUUAUGAAUUAUAAAUGCUCCGAGAACAGUUAUUCCGGAAAGAUGUAGUGAAAGUUGGCGAUAAAAUCUAAACUCACGGUGCUGAAGUUGGUAAUGGAACUUCAGUAGUUGACACUGGAGUAGCAGCAGGUGCAGGGGCAGUGCUCUGUGGUGCCUGCAAGUAGGUCAUUAUCAAAUAUAUCUCCCAUUUUUUUCAUCUUUAUUUCCUUUCUUUAACAGGAGAAUUAGUAAAAAAAACAAUAUUUUAUGGAAAAUAAAUAACAAAAUUGAAAAACUCUGCUUUAACUCCAACAGAUUGGCGACAGAACAUCAAGCAUCAUCAUGAAUAUUUUUAAUGCGAUUAUUUGGAGAUAAUCAUGAGAAUAACUAUAUUAUAGUACAUCGAUCUCUUCAAAACAAAACAUUAUGCAAUUAGUAUUGAAAAAUCAUAUUGUCAUUGUCAAUAAUAUAAAUACCCGAAGAUAGGUUUUUAUUGUCCACUAUUUUAAGAAGAAAAUAAGAGUUGUUUUUUAAUAAUAAAAAAUAAAAACAUCUUUCAAUCUUAACAUAAGAGUAACAGAUAGCUUCACUCAAUAAUGUGAAAAUGGCCAACCUCUUUCAGAAACAGGUAUAACUAUUAGCUAACUAAAAUAAAUACAAACAAAAAUUAAAUACUGAAAAGCUCAAACUAGAAUUUGAUAAUACCAUCCAACAAACUCAGUGAAAAACAGAGAGAAGGAAAAAAAGGGAAGAUAAAAACAAGAUAAAAAGUGAAUUAAGUCACCACCUUUACCACUAGCCAGUAAACAUAGAAUUGUUAUUCCUUACCUUUGCUACUGGCGCAGCAUGUGUGGUAGAAGAUGUCCCACCUGAUGAACUUUUAUUCUACAUACAAAAAGUGAGGGAAAAAUAUCAUUUGAAGCAAAACAAAACGUAAAGAUAAUGAAGAGAAAUAAACAAAAGGGUUCACACUUUAACCAAUAAGUAAAAGUCGCAAUAUGAUCUAGUAAGACUAAGCAUAUCACACAAUGCUGUGCAACUUAGGAACAUACAGGCAAAAACAAUCUCUUCCAUGUCAGUGCCGACACUUCCUAGCAUGAGCUCUAGACUACCAAUUAUGAGCCUCCCACUCAAGGCAAGGUCAUAUGAGCAUUUGCAAAAUAUUUCCCCAAACCAACAGUAAACAGUCAUAACACUAAAAGAACAAGUAGUCAAGGUUUAACAAUCGGUUUUCUUUUCUUGUACCAUUUUUUAAAUAAAAAACUGGCAUUAAUUGAAAAAAAAAUAUUUUUUCAUAUAAAAAAUAAAAGAUUACAUCGACCAGGGAGGCUAAAUAGGGAAGCCCUAAACCUCAACUUCUUCCCAAGACCUCUCCACUCAAUUGAAAACCAUCUCCUAUUUCUCUCCAGCCACAUCCCUCAUAAAGUAGUAAAAAGGCAGACCACCAAAGUAUACAGCCCUUGUCCUGAUGAGGGUGGAAUAACACCUCCAACAACAGCAAGCAACAGCAACUGUUCCAGAUAAGAAGGAUGUUUCAGAAUUGUCCUUACAAAACUGAUCCACCCAACCAAACUUGCAUCCUCAAAAAGAGAUAUAUUAACCCUUUUUCCAUAAAGUUCAACCACGACAAUAAAAAAGGCUCAAGCCAAAACACUUAUCCAGGUGCAAUUCAGUGUCAAACAUGGUUGACUGAACUAUAGAAUCUUGUUUCGUUUUAGCAUAUAGUUCAGUUAUGUGAAGCUUGGCUGGUAUUGGCAUUCACGAUAACUUUAUGAUGAUGGUGUGAGGUAACAUAUUUUAAUUUAAACAAGGAAUCAAGAUUUUCUUUGGUAACAAUAAUAAUCUUGUAUCUCCCAUGACUAUUAUUUAAACGAUCCUUCCUAUUAUAAAAAUGAAGAAAUUAACUGCAUUACCUUUGUUAACAUUAUUACAAUAAAACUAUUUUCUGCAACUUUAUUUUCCUCCAGUGUUGAGCUAUCUUUAAGGACUUUCCCUUGAUGGAUAAGCAUCUGCUGUGCUGCAGGGUAAACAUCAGCACCCUGAACAGUUUCUAUGUUUUUCUUCACAUCAGCAACCUAAUAAACAACAAAAAUCAGUUUCCGUAAUAAAAAAGGAAGAAGGUAUAUUUGCAAAAAAAAUAAUAGUUAGAUGCUUAACGCACUGCCCAAGGGAGAAGGUUGAAGGACAGUGGGUUGACAAGACGCAAAUUACAAACCCAAUUGCUCGUUCAAGAGAUAGUUAGAUGCUUAAUUAUAGAGGAGGCAUUUGCUUCAGGUAGAAAAAUAAUUUCAUCUUUACUCUCUAGAAACAUGUGUGAAAAAGUAUUUGCAAAAAAUAGCAAGUAGUUCCACAAGAGUGCAAAAAGGAGAAAAGUUAGGCACAAAUGUGAAGUGCUUCGCAUGGAGUGGCUACAAUUUUUUGAAAUACUACAAUGGGAUUGAAUCACUUUACAACGUGAUUACUUAAUUUUACAACGUGAUUACUUAAAGGAUCAGUUUAAAGGAAAACUACAAUAGAGAUAGUAUUUUAUUGCUGGGCCACAUAAUUUCAUCACUACAGUCUGACCAGUCAUUGAAAGACCAAGAAGAGAUAAUAAAAUGUUAAAAAAUAUAGAAAAACAAAUAAAGUAUCAAGAAACUAAUUAUCACAAAAGAAAUUGUGCUUAGAGCAAGAGAAAGAUAGGUUGGCUUUGGUUUUGAUGUGAUCAACAGAAAGCAGUAAGAGACGUCUAGCUUACUGUACUAACAUAUUUAUUUAGAGUUGCACGAAUGUUAUGUUUAUACUCAAAUUAGACUUAUAGGAAUAGUUCAGAAGUGUAUUUAAAUUUCAGUUUCUUAGUGUUCUCAAAGUUCCUCAACGAUGCUCCUUGUUUAAAACAUUAAAUACAUUUCAGGUUUUUAGUUUACUUAUGAUUAGUAGGGGAUUGAUAUACCAUCCUUCCUUUCCUUUAUUGAAUAUCUGAAUUAGAACUGAAACAAUUCUUAUCCAUUCAAAGGUUCUCUCCUACGUUCACUCAAUCAAUCAGAUUUUCUCCCUGCCUUCUUUUUCUUCCUUAUUGCUUCGAAUUUAAUAUAUCAUUCAUAAAAUACAAGCAGCGAGAUCAAUUCUGGUCCAAGUCCCCUGACAACAGUUGGGAAAUGAGUUGUAUGAUUGAAUUAACAGGCACGCAAGUGUUGCAUUAACUACGCAACUCAAUGCUAAGAACGACAACGACAACAAUCUAAACCUCCAGUAGCAAAAACUCCUUAAUAUUUGCAAGAAAAGAAAAACAUGAAACAAAAUAAACAUUUUAGAAUUAGUGCAGUGACGAUGAUGAGCAAGAUUCAAAUUCCAAAUCACAGUACAAAUUUAAUCACACAAGAAACAACAAUUCAACAACCAUCACAUAAACCCUAAUUACACUUCAAUUCGAAGUAAUUACCACAGACCGAAAUCCAAAACCUAGUUGGAGAGCCUCGAUUCCGAGCCAAGGUCUUAAUGCGAAGGAUUCAAAACGAAAAAAAGAAAAGCAAAACUAAAGCCGAUGAAGAUAGCAAACUGACCGUAUCUGCAGGCUGAACUUCGAUUUCGAAGUGUGAGCCCUUGAGAGUCUUGACAAAAAUCUUCAUCUUCGAAAAUUGAUCGCUGCCUUCGCGAAGAUGCAAGACCACAGCAGCAGGUCCGACGUCGGAAUCGAGAGAAUUAUGCUAAUACCCUAGAACGAGCAAAGGAUUCGAACGACGGUAACCGAAAGCGCAAGUAAAGAGAGCAAGAAGGAUUGGAUCAGAAUUCCGUGGUUUUAUAUAAGAGGUUAAAAGUUAUAACUACGCGCUAUUUGGCGCGUUAAGAAAACGCUCUUAAAUGAUUUUGGUGGGAUGUUGAGAUAAAAAGGCGCGUGGGAGAGCGAGUGAUGGAAGAGUUUGUGGUUAUAGGUAGAUGAUGAUAGCUGGAAAAAUGAGUAGAUUUUUGCAUUUGUGUAUCCGACGUGGCCUUCGACUUCGAAGUGUGCGUAUUCCGAAGUAUGAUAUCACCGCUUGAUUCGUUGGAUUAUGUUUAUCCCAUCAAUUUAGUGCCAAUUUUACUUCUUUCUUUUCCCUUAUUGGAACUACACACAAAUGGUUUUGAGAAAGUGUCUAGAGCUCGAUAGCUCGAUACUUCGGUUAGGUUACAUUAUAAUAACUCACUCCACAUUUGAACAAUUAAUUAUUUUAACAAUUCAUUCUUAUUAUAGUAAAACAUUCUUCAAUUUAAUAGUUAAAAUGAUCAAUUAUUUAUCUCUCAAAAGUUUUAAUGACUGCAUUUAUUUUGACCGUCAAUUUCAACAAAUAAUUCUAACAAAAAAAUUUACCUUUAAUGCUCCUACUUGCGACUUGUUUAAUUGUUUUUUUUAGAGUAAUCCUUUGGUAAAACACCUAUAACAAUUGAUAUAUAUAGUUUGUUUUACGAAUUUAUUUGAGGUUUGAAGUGAGAGUUGUGUAUUUGCAUAUUAAAAAAAAGUUCAUAAAAUUUGAAUUAGAAAAUAAAAUCUAACUCCAUUAAUUCUCUAUGCUUAUUCACUUUUUAAUUCAAUUAAAGUAGUAUAACAACUUCGUUCACCAAGAAACACACUCGAUUAACCACUCAACUUAAAUAGUUUAUUACGGUAUUCUACAAUCAAUCUCUGUACAUCUCUAAUACAUAGUUCGUUUACUUUGUCAAUGCUAAAAAUUAUAGUAUAAUCUCACGUAUUUUGGGAUAUCCGUGAUAUUAAGCAUAUAUUGCGUAACUAUUCUAUAUGACUUUUUUAAAGGUAUGAUAUCUAAGAGAGCACAUUAUUUUGCAUAAAAACAAUAGAAUUUAAAAAGAACUAAGAAGAACUACAAUCUUACCCAAAUUAACAAUAACUCAAAUACAUGAAUCCUAAACUAUACUAAAAUAAGAUGCAUCCAUCACGUAAACACUAAAUUUAUAAACCCAUACUAUAAUAAAUUGCACCAAAAAUAUAGAUUAAACCCUAAAUCUAAAAUGAAUGUGAAUGUUAAUUAAAGAAAUGAAGAUGUGGCUCAAUAAAAGCAAAUGUGUGUACGUAGAUAUUGAUCGGCAUUAUUGGGGUGCUGAUUUUGUUGGGCAAAAGAGUUGCUGAACCAAAAUCCAAGUGAUCAUCAAGAUGGGCUUUGAAAACUAACGGCCCACGUCGAAAUAAUAACAAUAAUUGGUUUAUUCGAAUUAUGCUAACAUUAUGAACUAAAUAAGUUAUAAAUUGGCAAAUAAAAAAAAAAUCAUAUAUUUUUGUAGGAACAGUGUAAAUCGACAAUAAACAAUCAAUCACGUAAAAUAAUUUUUUUAGUAGUAAUAAAGUGCAAGAAAUUGUGUGUUUAGAAGAUAUUUUUAAAUGUUUAAUUUAAAAAAUAAAUUGGAAGGUUUAGUAUAGUUUUUGAGGUUUAUUUUAAAUAUUUGUUAUCAAAUAAACUAAAUAAAAGUGUGUGUGUGUGUUUUUAUAAAAUUCAAUUCAAACGUAUCUAAACAUCACGUUGAUUUGCUUGCUUUUGACAAAAUAAAAUAAAAAGUAUCCAUAAUAAACAUUUAAACUACAUGAUUUAGCCCUUUCAAAAUUGUUCAAUUAUUAGCCUAAUCUUUUGGAUCUUAUAUAUAGUGAAAAUGGCAAAAUUAGAGAUUAAAAAAUAUUUACUUUCAAAACAAUGAAAUUUGUCUUUAAUAUAUUUUUUAGGAAGGGUUAAUAGUUUUUUUUUUUUUUUUUUUUUUGUUAAUUUUUUAAAAAACCCCGUUUAUUUAUUUAUUAGUUAUAAGAAACAUCAAUGUUAUCAACAUUUUAUUAAUUCUUCCAUUGACAAUUUAUCUGAAAUUAGAACUUCAAAUAUUUGCUAUUAUUGAAAUGAAUGGAUUCAAGUUCAAACUUCUAUUUAUUUGAAAUUAACGAGUUUUCUUUGACUAAAGAAAAAUAAGAGAAACAAAAAUAUAUUAAUUCCACGUGUAAAAUAAAAAUUUUGAAAGAUAGAUGAUGGUACCUUCAACACAAAUCAACUAUUAUUGAGUUAAACUCAUAUUAGUUUAAAAUUACUUUUCAAACAAAAUAAUGAAAAACGAUUUGAUUUGAACAAAGUGUAUUAGAGUUGUGAACUAGUAGAACACUCGUAACAAAAUAGAAAAUAUAAAAUAUAAGAACUAUGUUUUCCCACCAGUGAAACCCACAGAGUUUUAAGAAAGAAAUAAACCUCACAUCUCUGCAAAGAGAAAUAAACCUCACAUCUCUGCAAAGAGAAAUAAACCUCACAUCUCAUACUUUCAUAAUGGACCGUAGAUUAACAUAGUUAUUUGUUAAUAUCAUAUAGACAGACGAUAUUCUCACAAAGAUCUUUACGAUCAACAACCCUUUCCAUACGUAUAUGAAAUUGAACCUAAACUUUAUGCCUAGAUCGCACACACUACCACGAUUCGUAGCACUAAUACAAGAGCCAUCUCCAUGGCCAUGUUUACACGUGAGAAGAAAAACACAAUGACACCACCAUAGGAAUGAAUGACAAUCUACCAUCUUUGUGAAGGCCAAACGCAAAGCGCAGAAGCUUAUGCGAAUGGGUCAUCCAUAAGAACAUUAAAAAAAAAAGAAGAAAUUAUUUUAUAUUUGAAUUGUAAAUAAAACUAAUUUUGGUGGCCGUCUUUAUUCCGUUAACUCCUCACUCGUCGAUGUUAAUUUUCUUUAUGAAAAAAAAAAUAAAAAUAAAAAUUAUCGGGCGGAGAAUCUGAAGUUAUGAACGGAGGCGAGGGAGAGUAGGGAAACGCAAAAUGAUUUUCAAGAAUUCACACAUAAACCAUAAGGCAUAAACAAGAACUGAAAAGAAAAAUUAGAAUUCCACUGUAUUAAAUCAUGUGUAUUCGAAGUUGAAAGAAAGAAAAAACGAACCAAUUCCUAUAUUCAUCAGCACCAUCUGUAUCAACCUAGUCCUACCCUCCAACAAAUCUAAACCAAAAACAUUUACAGAUCGACGUUUCUACCUACUGCGCCGGCAGAGAUUCUUGCCGCCAAAGAAAAUCAGAGUUAUCCGACGCGUCAAAGCACAGAUUCGAAUACUCCAACAGCCCAUCAAACGCCACAUACUCCGCCGUAUCACUGCCGCUGUAUACAUCUCCGCCUUCCAGUUCGAAAGCGUCGUAGUUCGGGAUCUGAUCCACAAACCUCCACAUCUCACCGAUGUCAGACGAAUCAGUCGAUAUUCGAGCAAAAUCCUGUUGGCUAUUGGAAGGCGGGAGACCGAGCUCGUCGUCAGAGGCUUCCAAGAGGUAACCUAACUCCGGUUGAGAAUCAGCGGAAUCCGCCGUCAAAUCCACAACCGGCACCGGAGAAGAAGAUGCGGUAGCGAUUUCUUCCUCAAAGCUUCUCAUCAACGAAUCGAGAUCCUGAGUGGGUGGUUCAGGAUCGGAAUCGUCGAAGAAACCUAGAAGGUCGUCUCUGAGCCGCUUCACCUCGGGCGAACCGGUUUCGGACUCGGCCGAGUCGUCCCGAUCCCGCUUCUUGGAGUUUUGAUUCUCCAUGAGAAAAAAAGAAAAAAGAAAAAGAAGAAAGAAUUAGGGUUUCUUUUUUUUGUUUUUAUAUAUAAUAUUGUAAUGUGUUUGUUUAAGUUUGAAGGGAUAGACGCGAUAAAGAACGUGAGACAAUUUGAGCGGGGAAUGAAGGGGUGGGUAUUUAUAUAAGGGGGGACAAGGUAGGGAGAAGGUAGAAGGCGCGUGGAUAGUGAUGUGAAAUAAUCGCGUGGUAGUGUUUUGAAUAUGCUAUCUUCUUCCUGUUUUUAUUUAUUUGAUUAUAUUAAAUUUCGUUUAUCUCUUAUCCCUAAAAAAGAAAAUUGUUUUCUACGGAAAAUUCUACCCACCUCCUUUUCAUUUUCGUGACUUUGUCCGGUUUCAGUUUUGGAAUGAGGGAAAACAAAUUAAUUGAUUUCAAUUCCAUUUACAAAUCCGCAACAGUGGGGCCCGCUUUCUGAGUCAAUGACGGAUCCGUUUCUCUUUAAAUUCUUGGCUCGGCUCGGCUCCCCCUUUCUGGGGCUGCUUUCAAAUUAUUGGUCGGAGAAAAACUCUUUUUUAUAUUUUGGAUUUCUUUUUCUUUUUUUUUUUUGUCAAGUCUGGAUCUUACUUCAAAUUAGUAUAACUUUUAGGGCGUUUUUUAUUUUUAAAUGUUUAAAAUUAUAGAUAUAGGAAAUAAUAGGUGUCCAACAUGUUUUUGUUAUUGUAUUUAUUUUUUAAAUUUUUAUAAAUAUCUUAUUCUUCCAUUAACAAAAUAAAAGAAUUUAUAAUAUUUUUCUAAAUUUCAAGUUUAUCAUGUUAAUGCUGAUGACUUUUUAAUUCUUUUUUUAUCCUUUAUGAUUUAUUAAUUUUCUUUUAUAAUAUUACAUCUUCUUUAUUUUAUAAUAUUAUUAUUAUUUAUAUAAAUAUUUACUAAUCUCUUCAUUUUUUUCUCAAAUUAUAUUGUCCUCUUCAUUUUUUAUUUUUUUAUUCUUCUUAGUACAAUAUCUAAAUGAUAUUGAUAUAAGAUCUAAAUGAUAAUUUGUCUAUUUCAAUAGAUAGAGACAAAUCACUAUUACUAAUAAAUCAUUUUGAUUUGGUAUAAAAUCGUUUAUAUUUGAUACAAUUAUACAAUAUCGUUUAAACUUGCCACGAGAUCAUUGCUAGGAAAUCGUUGAGAUUAGGUGAAAUCAUUUUUUCAUACAUAUGUGACUGAUUAAUCGUGAUUAUAUUUUUGUUAUUUUAAGGUGAGGACUUGUGAACUUUUUCUUUUAAAAAUAGUUUUAGAAUAUCAUUUUGUUGUGAUCUUUAAAGUUAUGUUUAUUUUGUAGGAAUAUAUUUUUAAAUAUUUGAGAUAGUUUUACUGUUGCGUUUGUUUCACAUUAUUUCCGAUUAUAAAAAUAAAUAGAAACCAGAUAAAAGUUAUUUUUUCCUCUCCUCUCCUCUCCUCCCUUCUUUUUUACUUAAUUAUUAUUUUAACAAAUUUAAAAUAAUAGUAAAAAAUACUCACAGAUCUUUACAACCAAAUGGCAAAUAUAUUUAUUGGAAAAAACAAAUUUAUUCAAUUGAAAUCGCUUUUACAUAUGGGGAAGAGGGUAUUUUGGUAGUUUCAAUCUCCUUUGCUUUUGGUCAAAGGUUUAGACAAACAAUUGGAAUUAGAAUAUCCAUAUUAUAUAGUUUUAUUUUCCUCUUUCCUUUUGUGAACUACAUAAUGUGGAUUUGAUAUGAAGCCACUUGCCACUUUUUUAUUUAUUAUUUUCAAGAAAAAACAUCAUGGGUCUACUGUUUUUAAGUAUUAUAUUAUGCAUAAUGUGGAAAGUCUUGCUAGAUUUCUUUAUUUACAAAGAAUAUUGUUAUAUAAUAAAAACUAUAAACCCUUCCCCAAUCUAACCUCUCUUCCCUUUUUUCUUGAUCUAAUAAUAAAAUAACAUUUCUUCGACUCUCGAUCUUUCUAAAUUUAUUUGAUGGCCGUCCUUCACCCUUAAGAAUAUAUUGUUGUACUUUUAACUAUCUAAAGUUUUAUAUUUUUCUCGUGCCACCUUAAGUGUCCACCUAAUCUAUUUAGUUCAAUACAUCUUCAUCUCCAUACAUUAACAUAUAAUAAGCUUAAAAAAAAAAGAAGGUACGUGUCUAAAAGACCACCGCAAGCAUGAUUAAUAUUUUAAGUGAAAUUAAUAUAAAAUAAGUCUAUGUGAGUUUGUUUUGGUGAUAUCAACGUUUUUGUCUCAAAUAUUUUGAUCUCUCAAACAGUUUUAAUAAUCAUUCCAUCUAAUUAAAUCCAAACAACUAAUUGGUAAAAGUUAUAUUUCAUAAAAAGAUUUAGUUUAUGUACUUGAAAUUGGGUGCCCGCUAAUGGAAUGUGUAUGUAAUCUAAAUAUAUAUUUGGAUUAUAUAUAUUUUUUAAUACAUUUGUAAUAUAAAAUUUAUUUUAUUUGGAAUGUGUAUGUAAUCUAAAAAUAUAUUUGGAUUAUAUAUUUUUUUAAUACAUUUGUAAUCUAAAAUUUAUUUUAUUAAGAUAGUUUUCAAUCAAACUCCUUUUUUUUAAUCACUUCCGGGUUGUGUUUAACUAAUUAUACUUUCGAAAACUUGUUUAAUUUAUAGUAAUUUGGAUUUUGUAGUUGGUAUAAGGUAUCUAAAUAGUAGGGUGAUAAUUUAUAGAUAGAUAAAGGAAAAAUAAAAUAUGUUUGAAUAAUGAAUGGGGGUGGGAAAACGUAGGGUAGUGGGUACCUAAAGAUGUGGGGCAAAGUAAGCAAUGAAUAAGGUAUUGAGUUGGAGUUUGUCCAAAACAGGACGAAUUGGGAAGGCAAUUAUCAAAGUGAUUGAUUGUGCACUUUUCUAGAAAAUCUUCAAAUGGGCGAUGACGUGUAUGCCCACUUCACCUUUAAAAAAUAAAAGGGAGAAUAUCUUCCAAAGGUAGAAAAUCUUGUGGUAGGGCCAACCAAUUGGAUUUUAUUUUAGAAAAUUGAAAAGAAAAAAGAGGAAGAAAUAAUUAAAAACACACCCAUAUCAAGAAUCCCUUUUUUCCCCUUGUGUAGCAACCCAUAAAAAGCAAAUAAAUAAAUAAAUAAAAGGACAGAUUUAAACACAAUAUUUUUCUUUUGUACUUGGAAUUGUGUGGAACCCGAGGAAACUAUUUUUCAGAGGCUUUUAUUUGACUAAUAUACAUAUAUAUAUAAUUUAUCGUGACAUAAAAGAAAAUUAGCCAAAUUCCUUUUUAUUGACUUUCUAGAAUUGUAAUUUGAGGCAUGUUAUCUCCUUUCCCACCGCUUGCCAUUUUGAAUAUAUAUAAGUUUCGACGUAGAGGUUAACUUUUCUCACGUGACCUUCGUUUCAAAGGAUUGGAGGUUUGAUCUCCUGUUAUCCUAACGUAAUGUAACCAAAUUUGUUUUAAAAGAUAAAUACAAGUUUUGAAUAUAUUAAUUUUAUUAUGUUUUUGUUUAUUGUUACCCAUAUUCAUGAGUAUAUAUCUAAACUAAUUGAAUUUAUUUUUUUAAUACUUACUUGAAUUAUAUUUAAAUAAUAAAAUUCGCUAAUAUUUUGAGAUUUUUUCAAGAAUAAUAAAAAUAAUAUAAGUUAAUUAUAUUUUACAGCAAAAAAAAACCACAAAAAUGACAAAAUCUCAUCCUCCCUCAUUUUAUGCGUAAAUAGUUGAUUUAUUUUAUUAUUUUAAAUAAUUUUUAUUAGUGAUAAAAUGUGUCGGUAAUUCUUUUGUUAUUAAGUAUCAUGCAUAAUUAUUUUAAGAGAAAUUGUUAUAUCUAUAAAAUAUAGUAAUUUUUUUAUAAGUUUUAUGAUAGUUGAAUAGCAAGAAAUUAACGAUAUAAAAGUAAAAAACUUUAAUGUUUAAUAUUAUAUUUUGUGUUUUUUUAGUCAACAAAUAUUUUAUUUAGUACAUACAUAUUCUCUUAGUCCAACCAAACUUGAGUAAGAAAUUCCAAGUUAAUAAAUUUAGCGCAUAGCCAAAUUUGGUAAUUUACGUAAUUCCCAUAAAAUAAAUUGUAACUCUCCCUUUACUAAUAAUAAUAAUAACAAUAAACAACUUACCAAUUUAAGUAGAGAACCUCCAUGGUUGUGUCUAUUAAAAAAAUAUAUAACCAUUCAAUUUUGAAGUUUGAAUAUACACAUAUGGUUUGUUCAAGAGGUUAGAUUAUUUCAAAGUAAAGAAAACGUUAAAGUAUUAAUUUUGUUACGUUAUUUAAAAUAUAUACUAAAAUUGAUUAAAUAAGAAGGAUAAUUUGUAUGCAAGAAAAUGAAAAUUGUGAAUAUAUUUUGAAGACUUACAAGUUGAGAAUGAAAGGGAAAGAGAUCAGAUCAGAUUAGAUUAGGUUGAGUUUGAAAGGAAAGUUAGGGAUUAGGGUUCGUGUGAGUUUGAUAUGGGCGGGAGGGAAAAUAAUUGAAAAGGAAGAUAGAGUGGUUGGCAUAGUCACGUGAUUUGAAACGGAGAAAUGAAUGAAGAUUUUGAGUCUCUCAACUCUCGAGGCCUCAAGUCUCAACCACCCACUCCUCUCCCCAAAAUCUAAACUCCUUCUCCCUAAAAAAUAUCAGCAAGUGGCCGACACCCUCAAUCCAUCCCUUCCCAACACUUUAGUUUUUCCAUGUUUUUCUUUCCUUUUCAUUUCUACAUAACAAUAAAUUAUUUCUACUUCCCUACCCCACUAACAAUCAACCCUCAUCUUCUUUAUCCUCACUUAUCUUCAACCUAUCUAACAUGUUGUACCUAAUCACAUACUCUUUAUAUAUAUAUAUACAUUAUUUCAAAACGUUUCAAUAAUUGUUUGAAUUCAGGAUCUUCGAUAGACACGUGUCAGUUGAACUAAACUCAUGUUGAUCGGUUGUUAUAGUUUUUAGUAUUUGACAUUCACUAUUAUUUUCUUAUAUGUUAAUGUAUUGACUAUUUUCUUCUCAAACUAAAAUACUCUGCACUACAAACACAUACUAUUAUAACUCAAACUAAAAUAAUCUACGUCUCAAACACGAAUUAUUAUAACUCAAUUAUAAUAAUUGUCAACUAUUUCCUUCAAACAUCUUCCAAAUCUUUGAAUUUGUGUUUUGUUUUUUAGUUACUUAAUAAGUUUAAUACACACAUUUGGGUUUUUUGUUUGAGUGGACAUGGGAAUCUUUUUUUUGAACAAAAUAUAAAAUAUUAUAGACAUAAAUAGGUUAUACAAAUUCUAAUAUAGUUUUCAAAUAAGGGUUGUUAUAAGUUAUAAUUUUCAAACAAUAAUAUCUAAUUUCAGACUUUGGAAGUUUGAAACUAGAUUUUAUGUCUAAUGAUUAAAAAAAAAAAAAAAACCCUAACUUUUAUAAAAUAACAAAGAUAUAUUGAAGUUCUACUUUUACACAUUUAUUAAGCAGGACAUUAAAAAUUGAAGACUUGACGUGGAAAGGUAACCUUAAAACAAAAACAAAAAAUAAUUAAAUUUUGUCCUUCCUUUUUAUUUUUAUUUUUAUUUUUUGAAUAAAGUAUGUAGGAGAGAUAUGUAAACAAAUAUAUAUAAAAGUAAAAUAAAUGUGUUAGUUUUGUUUAUUUAAAUAAUAAUAAUUGGGUAGAAAGAAAAUGGAAGAAAGAAGGAGGUAGUCGGCUCCGUGUCUAAUCAUGUCGACGAAUUAUUUAAAAAUGGUAAUGUUUUUAAAUAAAAUACUAAACAAAAAACAAAAGGAGACACGUAACUUUAAUUUUAAUCAAUCAAGUAGGGUGGCACCUUAAAUGACGUACGCCCUCAUUUCAUUUUGUUUUAAAUUCUUCCUUCUUUCUUCCUUUCACACCAAAAAUUUCCAUAUUUCUUUCCUAUUUUUAAAAGACCAAACUUGUAUAUUUUACUUAUUUAAUUAUAUUUUUUCUACAUUUUAAUAUUUCGAAUUUGAUGGUUUUUCCCUCUCUCCGUUAAUCUUUUGUAUAUGUAUUUAAUAUUUUUAAAUCUGUUAAUGUUUUUUUCUUCUCUUAAUUUUUCAUAAUUAUAUGUUCAUUAUAAAUUUUUAGUUUUGUUUUAUAUUUAUCUAUAUUUAUUUUAUAUUUUAUAUUCAUAAUGUUUGAUUUAAUAUUAAAUUCAAAGAAUUGAAUAGGUAAAUUUGUGUUAUUUUUCCAUAAACAAAAACAGUUAUCAAAUAAGCCUUAAACCAACUUAUUUUAAAUUGGUAUAAAUAAAUGUUUGUUUUACAAAUAAUUUUAAUUGAUAUAUUUUAUAUAAAAAAAUCCUACUAUCUUAAAAUAAUUUCAAAACAUGGAAGGAAAGGAAGUAUGUAAUAAAUGAGUGUUGAAUUAAACACACUACCUAAAUUAAACUAUCAAUGAUAUAGAGUGUCUUCAAAUCACAUAGAUCUUUUUUUUUUUUUUUUGCGCUUAUUUAUUUAUUUAAAUUAUAGAUAAUUUUAUCAUCGUCGCCUAUAAAUUAGGUAUGAGGAAAAGAAACACAAUUUUGUUAAUUAAAACAAUUGAUUUUCGGACUUGUCUUAUUUGAUUUGACACCAAUGAUGUGAAUUAUUCACAUAAUAUAGUUUAGGUUAACAGUUUAAAGGUAAGGUAUUUUAAAAAGGAAGGAAAUGGAUAGGAUUGUUCUAAAAAUGAAAUAAAUGGAUGAGAAGAGAAGGAAGGAGGAAGGUGUAAAUGGAAAUGAAUGGUGAGGCAUAACAAACCCAAACCGAAGGCCGCGGUUCGGCUUUACCUAUCCCCCACGUUUCCACGUUGCUUAGUCAUCACGCUUUGCUUAGCAAAUGUGGUGUGACCCGUUAAAUUUGUGUGACCGUUUCCCUGCCCGUUACGGCCGUCCAUUCCGUCCCUUCCGCCUCCCCCUCAUCCAUUUGUCCUCUUUUUAUUCAGAGUAGUGAUCAAAAUUUCAAAGUUUGCAUUUAAAAAUUUGAACUAAUUUUUAAUUAUCUAAACAAACAAAUACCUUGUAUUAUGGCAUGUUAUUAAAUUUAGCAUCUAUACUUUUAACUUAUUUAUAGACCCAAAUUAACAAUAUAAAAAAAUUUAGAAAAAAAUCGUUUAUAACACAUAAAAUAUAUUACAAAUAUGAUAAAUAAUUAUAUAAAAUAUAUUACAAAUAUGAUAAGUAAUUAUAUUAAAAAGUCAUUAGAUGAAUAUUAAAGGACUAUUUGUUUUUAAAUUUGUUAUUUUUCUAAUUUAUAAUAUUUAACGACAUAAACUUUGUUUUCAUAAAUUUUUAUUUGUUAUUUUUGCGAACAUUCCAAUAAAUAAUUAGGAGUGUUAAAAAAAUUGACAACUCGACCAAUCUAGAUUAUCCAUUUCAUAAAUUUUUGCGUUAGGUUGAGUUGUGUUAGAAAAUUGAAAAAAAAUUGACUCGGUAGUCGAGUUGUGCUAGUAAACCUAAAACUAAAAGUAAACCUCUUUUUAAAUGAACACAAAAUUAAAUUUUGAAUUCAUAACAUAUAUUCGUCAUGUUCCACCUUAAAUGACAAUUUGUUUACCUUGCAUAUUAAAAAGCAAUAUGAAAAUUUGUCUAAAUGUUGGAGAGAUAAAAAAAAAAACCAACCCACCAAUUCAAGCUGAAUUUUUUGUGUUAGAUUGGAUUGGGUUGAGCCAUAUUCAAAUGUUAUAAGGGUUAAUAAUUUGGAUUAGUUCAUCUUUUUUUCUUGCCAACUCCAAUAAUUUGGAUGAGUUCAUUUAAUUAUUGGUAAAUAUUAAAAUGUUUUGCAAUUUAAACCAAAAUUUUGUUUUCUAUACUUAUCAUAACUCAAACAAAGACGUGUAAUCGAAAAGUUGUGUUCUGUCUAUAAUCUAAAAAUGGUAGAAAAUAUAGGGGUAAAAGAUGGAACAAAAGAUUAUUAAUUCUACAUUGCUAUAUCAUUAAAUAUUGUAAAUGUUAUUUUACUUCCAUGGUCAUCAUUUGCUACUCCACAACUUCAAAAUAAAUAACCUCUUACAAAUUUAAUUGACUUAUUCUAUAGAAUUAUAAAUUUUUAAAUACCAAAUUGCAAGACAAAAGCAAUACAAAGUUAAGUCAAAUUCUAGAUGUGGUUUUUCCCACUCACAAAUUUUGUCUUCCUUUCACGUUAUCUUCUAGACCACAUUUAAUUUUAUUCUUAUGACCUAAGUUUUCCCAAUUUGACUUUUUUUUAUAUUUUUUAUUUUUCAAUGGCAGAAAAAGAAAAAAAAAAGGAGGGAGACAAAUUAGAUGUUUAUAGUUGACAAAUAUUCAUAUGUGUAAUUACUUUUCCCUUUCUGUUUUUUGGUCCAUAGGGGUAAGAGUCUAAUCUCUUUCGACUAGUUUAUUAUUUAAUCAAUAAAUGAUAAAAAAAAAAACAUUCAAUAAUCAUAGUUUAAUUGACGUGUAAGUGUUAGUAAAUGUGAAAGAAGAUGAAGACACCAUUUUCUAAUUUUUCAUAAUUUGUAUUUUAUUAAUUUUAGUACUGAAUUAUAAUUUAAAUAAAAUGCAUGUAACAAAAUAUCUAGUAUAUCAACUUCUCACACUUGUGUCAAAUAAGAAUUAAUUCAACUAAACUCAGUAUCAAAAUUGGGUUUAACAGAUUUAUUUGAUAUGAAAUCAAGAGUUUAAUAGAUAAAAGCUUUAACUUUCUAUAUUUAAUAAAUAGUCAAACUAAAAAGAAAAUAACAUGUUUUAAAUACUAAAUAUCUAAUGGAUAAAAAAUCAAAAUUUUAAACUUCUACUUGAGAACUCCAAAAAUGAAAAUUUAAAGACUUAAUAAACAUUUAACAUAGAAGUUCACACCCUACUGAUGAAACUGACAUAAUUAAAUAAGUUGAAUGAAACUAAAACAUUAUACUCAUGGUGGGGGACUUUAAUCUAUAGUGAUAUCACUGUGGGAUGGCUUCUUAUUCCAAGAGUAAUGUACCCAAAAAAUGUUUCUCAAACAUAAAUGCAAUCAAAUCAUACUAAUACUAAACAAGUUCCUUACCCACUAUUUCUCAAUAAAUAGAAAGAACAGAAGGUGGAAGAAACCCAGGACAACUUUGGAAACUUUGUUAUCAAAUCUACUUUUUAUUUUUUAGAAUGAGGGGUGGUGUUUAUGUGUGUAAUUUUUAAAAACUAAAUGAGUAUCAAACUAAACCUUUAUUUUCUCACCGUUUCUUAUGAUGAUUAACCGAAUAGGUAGCAAACUUGAGAGAAUUGGAGUCGACUUUUGCCUAAAGUUAUAUGCCUAUAGAAGUAGUGGAUGUCAUUAAUCAAUCUCAAUCAAACCUAAAGGCUGUGGAUAUUUGACUUUUAAUAAUCCACAUUUUCGGCAUUUAAAUUCCAUUUUUGUUUUUCUUUUAUGGAAUUUAAAUUCCCGAAUUAAUACUUUGCUUCCGGAAAAAACAGAUUGAAUAAAGCAAAAGAAAACAAUAUAAUUCUUUUGAAGUUUUAAAUUUAUGUAAUUGUUCUACAACAUUACUAAAUCUAUCUAUUAAAAACGAUGUUUGAUUAAUCCAAUAUCAAAUUAAAAAUUUACAAAUUUACAAAAAGUUUUAAAAAUUGUUUCUUAAUUUAUUUGGUAGAGUCCAUACCAUAUAUAUAUAAAUAUAUCAAAUAUACGUAAAUCUAAAAGGUUAAAGAAGUUAAUUUGUAAUUAAAUAAAACACUCGUACUUUUCAAAUUCCUUAAUAAUAUUCUUUACUUCAUGUACUUGAAGAGUUUUUUUCCUUUUUAGUUUUGAAUUCACGUAAUAUCCAAAAUAAGAUAAAGACCAAUUAAACGUAUAUCUAGCAAUUACUUUUCCAACCGAAGAUAUAUAGUAUUUAAAUUAUUCUCAGGAAUUAAUUCUAUUCAAUGGUUAAAACCUUUUUGCUUGAGUAAAAGAAAUUGUCUCUUAACAAAUCACAAGUUUUUUAAAUUAAGUUCUUAUAUAGUACUUUUGUUUUAAGUAUUCAGUUUUUGACUUAGUUUUGUAAAACAACCGGUAAAUAGUACAAUAGAUUUGGGAGUGGAAAUAUUGUCCAUAGGUAUUUUAUUUUUUUGGGCUAAUAUUCUAUAACUCACACCGACUUUUGUUGCGUUCUAAUUUUGGCGUAAUCUGAUAUAGAAGCAACAGAUAGACUGCCAAAUUGGUUAAAGAAAUAAAGCAAAAUAAACUACUAAAGAAAAGGGAAUAAAUAUAUCUUUUGACCUAAAAUUUGAUUCUAUCUCUUGUAGUACAAUUUAGGAACAUUUAAAUAUGGAAUCUCUCGUAGUACCAUCCAUGUUUUAAGUAAAUUUUAAAUCAACUAUCGUAAAUUGUUGGAUUUUAUGUCCCUUUAUUAUUAUUUUUUUGUUGGGGCCAAGAUUGAGAUAAUUUAAUAAGAUAGCUAAUAUUAGCUAAGGUUGAUUGGUCAUUGGAAUUUUGGAAUUGUCUCUCUUUCUUUCCUUUUACAUAUUUACAUAUUUGAUAAAAUAAAAUUGUUAUAGUUCGUAAACAUUUUAAUUUAUUUUGUUAUUUUUUAAAAAUGAUAAAAACUAAUUUAAAAGAUAAUUAGUGGACUCACAAUGGGGCUUUUCAUUAAUAGUUCAAUGGGCUUAUAGGAAGAGAUUGAUAACUCAAAUGCACUAACACGAAGCCUCGUCGUAUAAAAAUGGGCCUUCGUAUACAACAGAGCCCAUCAAUAAUAUGUGGCUUUUUGUUAUUUAUUUUUUAAGCUAAUUUUAUAACUAAAUAAAACUUUAAUUUAGUCCCUAAAAUAUAAACCAAGGUUUACCUUUUUUUUCCUUUUUUACAAUAAGAGUUGAGAUAUUUGAACACACAUAUAAGUUGGUUGAGUUAAACUUGCUUUUAACUCACUAAUUCACUUUCUACUUAAUCAAAUUCAACAAAUUAAACGUAAUAGAAAGUUUGGCCAAAAUCAAAUUAAUUAAAUGGAAUAAAAUAUCCACAUUUUAAACUGUUUGUCUGUUUUUUUUUUAAUGGUAUAUAUAUAAUAAUAAUAAUAAAAAAAAAAGAUAAACAAUCCACUGAUUUGAUAGGUCAUUUCCUCCACAAUUGCAAAGAAGAGAGCAAUUUAAUUUGGUUCUAAAUUUCCUUACUUUAGGUUAUGGUGUCAAGUCAGUCCUCCAUAUUGUUGGUUUAGUCCAUUCUCCAAUAGAAAAUAUAUCAUGACCAAUGAGACCGACCUAUUUUCUUUGUGAACAAGAAAGCUUUUUUUUUUUAAUUAUUCGUAAUUUUAUUUUAUUUUCUUCAGGUUACAGUUAUUACAUAUAGUUUGAUUUUUUUUAAAAAUUGUUUUUGUUUUCUUCGUUUUAUUAUUCGUAAUUUUCUUCAUAAGUAACCUAGGAUGAGGACAAAAAAACAAGUUUUUUAAAACUACUUUAAGUAGUUUUAAAAUUUUAUCAUUGAUUUUGAAAAGAAGAUGAUACUAAAUUGGGUAGUUGUCAAACUCCACUCUCAAUCUUAAGACGUGUUUGAAAGUUAUAAUUUUUCCACUACUACGACAGUGCUUGUUUAUACUCUAAAAUUGUCUUCACAUAUAUAUGUGAACUCCACGUUAUUGUUUAGUGAAUCCUACUUUAAUUUUAAAGUUAUAGCAAGGAAAACAAUAACUUGAUGUGUUUGAUCUAUAGUUAACAAAUGUAUUCAUUUACAAACAAAAAGUAAAUAUAAUUUAUAUUAAAAUGUCGUUUUAAACAUGUUUAUUGUUUUAUUAUAAUUUAAUCCUUAUAAUUUAAAAAAAUAAAAAUACCCUAUUAAUAAGUUAUUAUUAAUUCUUUAAAGACUAAAACAAGUAUAUGUGUUAUAAUGCAUGAUAAAAUUUGUUAUUAUUUAAAUAGAGACUAAAUUGAAAAUAUUAUAAGUCAAACUAAAAGGAAAUUUUAAAUACAUUGAGAAUAUAGCAUGUACAUAAGAAUGUAGUACUUGCAAUAACCCUAUCGAUUUUUUAAUAUCGUGUUUGAUUUCUCACAAUUUGUACUUAUAAUAACCCUUUUGAUUUUUGAAUAUCGUGUUUGAUAUCUCAUGAUUUAUUUAUUAGGGUAUUGUCUUUUAUAAUAAAAGUCUGAAGUAGUAGUAAACUAUGAUCGGUUUGGUUUGAUUCAGUAAGUAAUCUAAAAAUGUAUAAUGUAUGAUAGUACAAACCGUAACGAAUGAAGCAUUUUGAAAAGUAUCGUGAAUCAAUAAUAAUUUUAGACUAUAAACUAAUAAUAUUUAAUUGAUUACAAUAGUUUAAAAAUAGUUCUUACCUUGAAGGUAAAGUGUUGGUCAACAUCUCGAAAUGUUGACUGCCUCCCCAUGUGAGAAUUUUGUGUUCUACGAUAGAUUGAAAAAUCAACCUUUCAAUUUUCUUUCCUUUUGUAAGUUUAUGAAUAGUAUUGACGUUUAUGGAAGUUAACAUUGUUGUCAAAAAUUUCUGUGUUUUAUCUUCUUGUAUUUCUUCCCUAUUAUAUAUAUAUAAUCUCACAUGAAUUUAAAACAUGCAUAUACUACCAAUAUAAAAUAUUGGAUGCCGAUAUAAUGCUAAAUUUUGUCUAACUUAGAUGGUAAUGUCAAAAGGACAUACCUUAAAUUUGAAGAACCAAAAAUAGAACUUAAUUGUUAAAAGCAAAUCAUGUUCUUGGUUUCGGAAGAACACAGGGUGGAUCCGAAAAUAUGAAAUCAUCAAAACCAUUAACUCUUCUCACAUUCUUAGUUCCCACCAAUCCAGUAAUUAAAAUAACAUCCCAUUUCAUCCAUUCAUUCAAAAAAAAUUUCAAUAUAUAUAAAUAAAUAAUCUGGAUUGGGCCAGUCUUACCCGGAUCCGCAACCAAUUGUUCAUUCCCCUCCAUUAUCAAAGCCCCCGAUUUCCCAUCUCCCGUAAAUUUCUACUUUCGACAAGAAUCCGCGGCCGAAUCAACGCAAGAGGGCUUCCGAUUCUGCCUCUCUCUUGAUUUCCCUUCCGAUUCA